rnacentral:lncRNA from 1 species
UUUUUUUUUUUUUAUAAAAAAAUGGUGCUAUAUAAUUUUUUUAUUAAAAAAAAAAAUCAGCUUUAGAACAAAUAUUAAAAAAAAUCUUGAGUUUUUCAAGAAAUUUAUUAACUUUUUAACAAGUCUUUUGUAUGGUAGUAUUAUAUUUAUAGUAAAAAUGCGGCAUUUUGUUGACCUAAAUAUAUAUCCAAACGUUAGUAAUAAUCAAUACUUGACCAAAAUAAUAAUAAUAAUAAUAAUAAUGAAUACUAUUAUUAAUAUUAUUAGCCUAUUAAUAAAAAAAUAUAUAUCACCAAAAGAAAUAAAAAUAUAAUAGCCAGAAAAUUUAUACAUAACCAUUAUUAAGGGCAGUUUUAAUUAUUUUGUUCAUUUAUAGAAAAUUUUCUAUUGAAAAUAAUUUAUGAUAAAAAAGUGUGUAUACAAGAGUAAGCAUGAUAACGAGGCGGGAUAGAGGUAGAUUUUUUCCUUCACAAAAUCAUAAAGUUUAGGUAUUUUCAACUCGUUUCAAUUCUUUACGGAAAUGAAAAGUACGCAGAACUCAAACUCAUAUCCAACGAGGUACAUAUAUUUUUAUAUGGAGUUUGGAUAUCUCCAUCCCGCCUUGCCUCUGUAUUAAUUUGUGGUGCGCUUUGGUAUUUUUACUUUAAAAAAAUUAAAAAUCCAAAAUUAUUUUGUUUCAACGAUAAGAGUUUUCAAACAAAGGAAAAAAAAUAUAUAAUAUGAAUUUUCAAACAAAGAAAAAAAAUAUAGAGAAAACAACUUAUUUAAUAGUCAACUUUAAAAUAAAAAUAGUUUAAUUUGUUUAAAUAAUUCUAAUUUAAGAGAGUUAAAAUGUAAUUUUAAUAUAUGCGAGACAAAUUCAAGAUGAGUAUCAACACCAUAUUAUCUACCACAACCUUAUCUUUUAAAAUUGAAAAAAUAAAUCUAAGCUCAAAUUUAAUCAAUUUAAAUUUUCUUCAUUAAAAUCGAAGCGAAGAGGGGAUGGAUACACAUAGAUAGGGUUGAGCACGGACCCGCAACCUGACUCGAAAUCAACAUAACCGCCAACAUAUGGAAGCACUCAGUCGGGUGCAGGUCGGCUCUCAGGUCAACAAUUGUGAAAAAUUGGUCAUAAAAUGGUUGUAUAGGGAUCCCUAAAAAUUCAUCUCUUCAUAACCAAAACUAACCAAACAAUAACUAAAAUUCAAUUUUUUUUUUGGUUCCGAGCACAUCUCUCUCUCUCUCUCUCUCUCUCUCUCUCUUGUACUAUGUUUGUUUCGAUAGAUUUAUGAGAUAGAGAAAUAAAGAAGAGAGAGAUGACAAAGAAAUAAGGUAUUUCAUCGGUUUGAAUGAAGAGAUAAAUAAGGAGAGAGAGAAGUUUUUCAGAUGGGUCUCAUACUCUCAUGCCAAAAGAAAUCUCUCCACAAUAAGUGAGAUUUGUGAGUUGAUGGAGUGGAGAGAUGCAGUUUCCGACAAUGUCCUUCUUGUUAUUUUUGUUGAGUUUAAAUAUUCAACUAUAUUUGAAUUUUAAAUAUGAAGUAUAAAUUUGUCUUUUUUUUUUGUUAAUUUCUCUCUAUCCAUAUUUCUACUCAUCCUCUUCUCUAUUUCUAUUCAUCAAAAUAAUAUAGAAUUUCCACUCAACUUCUCUCUUUCUCUUAUUUGUCUCUUCAUUAUUUCACUCUUUCCUAUUUAUCUGAACAUCCAAACACAGUGUUAAUUUUUUAUACUCUUCGCUUUAUUGUUUUUAUCUAUCUUUGAUAGAUGAGAGAAAUAUUAUAUUUUACAAGUUUAAGCUUGUAAUAUAUUGAUAAAGGAGAUGUGAAAGAUAAUAUUCUAGAUUUUUCUUAAUUUUUGCUUCUCAUUUACUUGAAACAAAGUAAAUACAUAUUUCUCUUUUUGUUGUAUCAUUUGUUGUAUUUGUAUACGAAAUAUUAAACUAUUUGAAGAAUACCAAUUUUUCUAUCAAUGAAAUUUUAGAUAUAACUACAAAGUUUCAAACUAACCCGUUAAAACUGACCCGGUAUGCAUCCGAAGCUGAUCGAUGCUAACCACUGCCCAUAAAUAGGAGUUCUAACUUCUAAAUUCUAAUGGCAUAUGCAGGUAGAAAGUUCUUGUUUGGAGCAUGUUCCCCUUUCUUACUUACAAAAGAAACGAAGUAAGAUGAUAGAUAGUGAUAAUCCACCCACUUGGCAAUAAUAGCAUGAAAUGAAUAAGUAGUACUAUUUUUUCCAUGUCACGAGACGCGCAUAUGAACUCACGUCACGCACGACUUGACUCUAUCCAACGUUAAUCCAUCCCACCACUAUUCUCUUUAAACUUCUCAAUCAAGUAAGUUCCAAACAACACCUACCAAGCAUGACUAUAAACUCCGUCACGAAAAUUCUCUUUCAGACUCAUUUUCAUAUAUAUAUAUUUUUUCAUUAAAUAGAUUUAAACAAAAUAAUAAUUUUUAAAAGUUUUUCUCCAUUUAUUACAAGAUUUUUUAAAAAUUGAGAGAAUCUCCUUUUUUAAUUCUUUAAAUUAUAUAACCAAGUGGGGUCAACAUAUUUACAAUUAAGUGCAUUAAAAAACCAAUUAUUAGUUGAUUUUGUCCUGUGAUUGAAACAAAAUUUGAUAUAGAGGAUCACGGUUCGAUCCACCAUAAUUGUGAUUGGGAGAGACUGAAACCAUUUGAUACGAGAACUGAUUCUCAAAUCAGAUUAGACAGUCCAAUAGACAGAAUAUUGGUGGUAAAAAAAAAUCAGCCAAACGUCCCGAUGAACAUAUACUUAAUUGAUAAAAACAUCACAUGGAAUAUAUAGAGAUCAAAACUCUAGUACUUGCGGUCAGAUUCGCAUUAUGUUAGUUUUAGUGUUACCAUCCACUAAUAAAAAAUUGUUUUUUUUUGGAAUAAAAAUAGUUUUUUUUUACUAAAAAUUGACUUGCUUAAAUAUAUUAUUAUUAAUUUAAAUUAAAAAAAGUACCUAUUAUAUGAUUGUAAAAGGAGGAUUAUCAUUAAUAAAACACUUAUUUGUCCUCUCCCCAAAAAAAAGUUUGUCAUUUCAUUUGAUUGGAAAAUGCUAAAUUGUGUUUCAGGGCCACUGUUUAAGAAUGCAAAUAUAAUAAUAUUGCAUCGAAAUUUGUACAGUCAACUUCUCAAAAAUAUAAAAAAUAAUAUUUUUAAUUCAAUUUUUUUUUGGGUUUUCUUAACCGGUGCUAGGGUUGGGAAUAGGCCAGGCGGCCUACAAGCGCCUUCGGUCUGGCCUGUGUAAGCCUAACCUGACCUGUUUAUUAAAAAUGUCAGGCUUAGGCUUUGAAAAAAACAUGUUUACAUAAAUAGGCCAGACUAAUGCUUCUAAAAAAGCCUACAAAGCAUGAUAGAUCAGCCUGUUUAUAUUUGAUUAUUAUUAUUUAUAUAAUACUAUUAUUUAUAUUUUUUUUUUGUCAAAGAAAAUAUAUAUUAUUAUUUAAUCAUAUUUGUUAUUUUAUUAACUUUUAAUUAUUGUGCUAAUCAUUUUAUUAGCUUUUUCUUAAUGUUGAAGAAAUUAUAAAAAUUUAAAUGUGAAACAGGCCUGACUUUUAAGGCCUGUUUAGCCUAUUUAAAAAGACUAUAUAGAGGCAUUUAUGUAACACAGACUUUUAAAAAAGCUACAAGGUCAGGCUUUAAAAAGGCUCAGGCCAGACCAAAAUAAAUAUCAUUUGAUAGGCAGUAGGCCAGGCUCAAACCUGAAGAAAAAUCGUAGGUCAGACUCAGGCCUAUCAAGGUCUGGCCUGUUCCCAACCCUAACUUAGCAUUACCCUAUUUUAUUUUAUUUUAUUUUAUUUUAUUUUUUCUUUCUCCCAUUGAAAAACCGUGAGUAGUAAGAAAAGUACUCAACGAAAAGGCAACGGGGAAGCUUCCUUUUUUCCGCAAUAUAAUCCCUCAACUCUACAAGGAAAACCCACAACGCAAAAUCCAUUUUUUAAUUAAUUAAUUCAUUCAUUCUUUCGAGUAAUCACUAAUCAAUGACUGGAAUUGGGAAGAUGAGGAGAUCAUUCUUGAAGAAGUUGAAGAAAGAAACAUUGAGGUUGAAGUUUCUUUGGUCAUCAUCAUCAUCAGUGUUCAAAUGGAACAGGCUUACUUUGCCUGUUUCAUUCAUGGAAGAUGUUGUUUUUAAGGUUGUUUCUGCUUUUGAGGCUGUUGUUCUUGUUCUUACCUUAUGUUUUUUUUACCUCUGUUGUGGUUGCAGCUUCUAAUUAAUCUCUCUCUGCUUCUCUUUCAUGUAAUGUAAUAUAACUAACUAUUUAUUUAUCUCUAAUCUCCAUCAUUUUGUUAUUAUUCUCUAUGAUUAUGUAAUUAUCCUCUUUAAUUGUCAAAUAUUUGGGUUAUAACUUAUAAUGAAAAGUCUUGAUGAAUUAUUAUUAUUAUUCACUUCUCUUACAUCAUCCAUGUAUUGUGUGCAUGAUGCUAUAGCCAACAUAGUUCAAUGUGAUUUCGGGAGGCGUCCGUGAAGUACUAACACCUGACACGCCUAAUCUGAGAAGUGUUUGUGAUUAGCAAACAUGAAAAUGAUACUUGCAGAGUUUUACUAAAAUUUUCCAUGUGAAGAAACAAAUUUCCAUUUCACAAAUGUCAAAUUAAAUACAUGAUGACAAUGGGUACUUGCUAGUAUAAUAGGUCUUGAGGCAAAAAAGAGUAGAUCUGAAUCUGAUCAUCAAUCAUGAUACCACCCAUUGGUCAUUAGCAGAUCUUAUAUUCUUACUGAAGCCAACAUUGUCCCAAGUGACUUCACUGUAAAACUUUCUGUUUCAAAGAUUAAUGUUGCAAGAUAAAUAAAACAAUAUCAGAAUGAAAUAGAUCAAAUUAUAAAAAUAUUUUCUACGCGUCUCAAUUCGAUCUAGCAAGAAAUGCGAGAGAGCUCAUUAAGAAAGAAGCCUGCAAGAGGAUGCGCGAACCCCCAAGUCAAGCGCGCUAGCGCUUUACCAAGGCUUCCUCCGACUGAUAGGGGCUUGCCGUUGCUUGUUUGGGUUGAGUGGAUAGUAUGCGCCCUUUGGACUUUUCAAACUUAGUGAACUAAAACAUCUUAGUAGCUAAAGGAAGGGAAGUCAACCGAGACCCGUUAGUAGUGGCGAGCGAGAGUGUUAAAACAUGGCAUCCAUCAAAAUAAGAGAGAAAAGCUUAAAGACUAUACUGUAUUGGUGGUGGUAGAAAUGAUAUAAAAUACCAACAAUGAAUUGGUUCAAAUGGUAAGGGUUUUGGACUCCUGAAAUAGGUGGUCAAGGAUUUGAUCUCUGGUUCCUACGUAUGAAAAAAAUUCAGUUGGAAGGAGGAGAACACACUUUGUGUGCCCCACACAUAACUUGACGGAAAUUAGAGUCAAAAUGAGUAAUAAUAUACAAAAUGAAAAGAUAGUACAAAAUGAGUCUACCUUAUGACUUAUUUCUUAACUAAGCAGUCUAAGCUUAUACACUAACUAACAAGUAAUCUUGAUCAACUAUUUUCUCAACACAUAGUUUGUAAAACUGUAGUAAUGGAAAUCAAAUUAUUCUUGUGGAAGAUUGGGCCCAAAAUUCUAAUGAAGAAUGUUAACAGGAAAUAGCGAGCCAUGACCAAUGACGCCUUAUGCGCCCUAUCUGCAAUUUGGAACCGAAGACUAUGCUAGCUUCAUGCUUUCAAAGAUUGUAUGGCAGGCUAUGCAGGUUUGGAGAUUUUUCAAGUUUGUUGAUACUGAUCCUAUGUUCUUGAGAUCCAAUUCCAAUUUAGAGGAUUGGUUUACAAUUCAACUUGUGCAGAAAAGUAAGCUAUAGAUGAUAGUUGGAGUACUGUUUUUGCUGCUGUUUUGGAUAGAAUAUGGUGCACUAGAAAUGAGCUGUUCUUCAUGGCAAGAGUGUCUAAUCACUGUAAUCUCCAAAUCCACGUCCAAUACGUUAUUGAAGACAUCAAGAGGUCUAGUGAGGAGGAUAUUGUCAUUAGUGCAGGAGUUCGGAGACGGACACUCAGCUCCGGAUAAAGGACUGAUCAAAAUUAAUUGUGAUGCUGCUGUUGUGUAAAUGGUUAUGCUGGAGGAGGCGGAGUAGCCCGCAAGAGGCUAACAUUUGGUCACUAACAUUUACAUAACCAUAUUGCGGGCUACUCCACCUCGACCAGCAUAACCAUUUACACAACACUUGUCUUCCAGCUUGGAUGGCCACUAACAUUUGGCCACUAACAAUUGAGCAUAAAGAAAAAAGGAAAGAACAGAAUAGAAGACCUUACAACAAUGGCAGAAGCUAUGAAUAGAAGACCUGACAUCAGUGUAAAACUUUCUGUUUGAAAGAUUAAUGCUGCAAGAUAUUUAAAAAAAUCAGAAGCUACAAAUCAAAAUAUAUUUUUCUUAAAUCUAUUUAAUAUAUAAAUUAGUUUUAUCUUCGCUUUAUUUUAUAAUAAUUGUGUAUAAAUAAUACAUCUAAAAUUGGUUACAUAUUAUUCACUAAUAAAAUUCCACACAUCUAGAAGCCUCUUUACUACAAAGUUUAGACAAAAACGAAAUUGUGAUUAUGGAAUCUUGGAUAGAAACAGACGAUAUUUUAGUAGGUAAAUUAAGGCCUCAAAUGGCAAAAGAAAUUCCUUUGUUUGGAGAUUAUUUUAUCACACAAUAUAAAAAAUGAAAUUAUAGAAUAAAUUGUUACCCAUGACUAGAUCUCGGAUAAAUGGAAAUUUGUGUAUGUUAAGUAAUUUAAUUUUUUACCUAAAAAAUCAUCUAUAGUAAUUUUAAUCGUGUAUGUUUAAGCUUUUGAAAUUAAUCAAAAUUUUAAAAAUUACUUUUGUGAUUAAAAUGAGUAGUUGUUACCACAAGGUAGACCAGGUCUACCUUGUGGUAUAUGAGCAGGGGCGGAUCCAGUGUGCAACCAGGGGUGCACCUGCACACCCUGAAUUUUGGGAAAUUACACCUAAUAUCCUAUAUUAUUUAUACUUUGCACCCCUGAAAAUUUUUCUUUACACUCUGGACCGAAUUGUUUACCUUUGUGCCCCAAUUUUGUGUCUCAUUGGUUAAUAAAGUGAUCUGUUUGUAGUUGUACAGACUGACCAUUAAUAUUUUCAUCUUUCUUUGCUGACAAAUUGACAAACAAUCUUUAAUUUUUCGUAUAUUUUUCCCUAAUAUUACAACUUUUUCAAAGUAUUGUCGGGUUGAAGUAGAACCUAUGUCUUAGCCUUAAGAAUGAAACUUUAACCAACAGAAUAUAUAGAAGGAUGUGUAUUACUUAUAUAGUUGCAACAUUGGUAUAUAUAUUAAUUAAUUACUCAUAUUAUAUAGUAUUAAAUUAAGUAAGACACUUAGUUUAAGUGAUUAGUGAGUGCUCCUAGAAUGAAUCGUUCGAGAGAACUCGGGUUUAAUCUAUGAUGAAAUUAAUUUUUUCUUAGACUUUACUUAUUUCGCGAUCGAAUUAUGAAUUACUCGGAUCCUCUUUCUCUGAAAAUCAAAGGAUUAAUACCAAAAAAAAAAUUAAAAUUUUUGCAUCCCCUAAACCAGGGUCCUGGAUCCGCCACUGUGUGUGAGUAUGAGUAUUGUAAACUUUAAGGUGUUCGAGUUUUAGUCUUGAUAAUUAAAAAAAUGAGAAGUUUUUUUUAGUAGUUUUUUUAAGAAAAAAAAAUAGUAUAUUUGAUUUUUUUUUUUUACAGUAAAAUAGUAUAUUUGAUAAACACAAAAGGAAAUGUAAAAAUCUCAAAAAUUAUUUUAUGUAAUAAUCACUUUUAUUUUAAUCAUAAACAAAUGAACUUAAUCUUCUCUAAUUAAACAAAAUAUCUAUCUCAAGAACAGGACAGUUCAAAGCUGCCACAUAUCUUAUCUGUUACUUUCCUUCUCUUGUGUACAAGACACAGUGCUUCUUCUCAAUCCAACCUUUGUUCCUGCUUUCUACUGAGAUUAUACACAAACAUGCAUUCCUUAACAUGCUUACCACUUUCUUCUCCUUCUUCAAUCACAACUCUAAAACCAAACCACAACAAUAACUCUUUAUUGAAUGCAACUUCAAGGCCAUGCCUAUUACCUUUAAAAAGAAAAAACAGUUUUACUCCUAGAGCAUUACUAUCAUCAACUAAAGAAUCUGUUCUUAAAGAUUUUCGUGAAAGAACGGCUCUCAAGGUAAAAUAAAACAUGCAAAACACAUUUGUAGCUGAUCUUUUCAUUGAUGAUAAAGCUAGGACUAAAUGUUGUAAUGUGUAUGUUGAUAAGUAUUUGGCUUUCUUUUGAAGAUUAUAACAGGUUUGCAGAAUUUUGAUAAAGAUAAUGUUGCAUCUGUUGUCACUGCUGCAGAAAAGGUUCUUUGCUUCACUCUUUCUGCAUUAUUUUUUCUGUCCUCAGUUUUGGUGAUUAGUACUCUAGUAUUUCUACACACUCAUGUAAUUUUCUUUGUACUAUCUCCGAUCUCAAAUAUAAGCAAAGAUUCUCUUUCUAGGUUUACUGAAUUAUUGAUGCGUUUAGUUUAUAAUGCAGACCAAAUACAUACUUGAAAAAGAAAUCUUUGCUAAUAUUUAAGACCAGAGUCUGACAACAGAUAAGCUGAAAAAGAACUUAGUGUUAUAUAUAAUUUGAAAUUACUUAAAUCUAGAAUUAUUUAGAGUUGUCAAAAUAUCUAUGUAAAAAUUUAGAAAUAUGAUUUUUUUUAUGCGUCAUGACUUAAAUUCUCCAUGUAUUUAUUGAUGAUAAAGCUAGGACUAGUGUUUUCAGGCUAAUUGCUGUGUAAUCUCUUCGGGCUUUGGCUGUCCAUUCUAUAAAAAAUUAAAAUUCUAAGUGAUGUUUUCUUAUGGUUUGUUUUUUCUUCUAUAAGAUGUUUCACAUACAAACUAACAUAGAACUAUGGAUUGUGAAUGAGUGUGUCUUGUUGUCCCCGUGCAGGGAGGAGCAACUCACGUCGAUAUAGCAUGUGACCCUGAGUUGGUGAAGCUAGCUAUCAGCCUAACUUCUUGUCCGGUAUACUCAAUGGUUUUCUUAUGAAUUUCUUAACACUCGGAAACAUAUUUUAUACAAUGUGUUAGUGUGUUACAUAGUUACUGAUCUCGACUGUCUAUCUAAAUCAAUGGCCGGGAUCAUUUAAAAUUGAUUUAGUGAAUGCAUAAUCUGAGUCGAUAGAUCUCAAAUCAAUGAUUGAGAUUUACAAUAUACUCUUAAUAAGUGUCGACAAUUUAUUAUUCAUCGCUCUUGCAGGUUUGUGUUUCUUCUGUAGAUCCUGCAACAUUUCCAGCUGCAGUUGAAGCAGGAGCACUAAUGGUUUGACUUUUUGUCUAGUUACAUUUCCAAUAUCAGUUCCAAGUUCAUACUGUAGUCAAAGAUGGGAUAACGAUAAACAUUUAAAGUCUUUAUGAGAUUUGUAUUUAACAUGAUAUUGCAUUGGCAGGUUGAGAUUGGAAAUUAUGAUUCAUUCUAUGAGAAGGGAGUAAUUUUUACUCCGGAGCAGGUAAAGAAUGGUUUUCAGUAUUCAAUCUUGAAUGUUUAAAACAAAUGAUGCACUGUAAGUGUAAAGGGUUUUACACCAUCAACCAAUCAUCAACCAUCAUUUUCAUGACUUUACAGUUAGUUAUGAUGAAAGUCAGACUUUUUUAAUAAUUGAACAGUUAUAGUUGACUGACAGUGUAAACAAUAUGUACACUAUCGGUGCAUAUAAAUUAAAUCCUAAUUUAUAUAUUGCAAGCAUGAUCUAUCUAUCCUUGUAUGCAGAUUCUGAGUUUAACAAAAGAGACUAGAAGGAUACUUCCUUCUGUAGUUUUGUCUGUCACUGUUCCUCACACACUAAGCCUCCCUGAUCAGGUAACAAUUACAAAUAGAAUUUAUACUUGAAGAGUGCAAAAUUAUGUUGAUUUAUCGAUAUUUUCCGAGUAUAAAUAAACAAAAAUUCUAAAACUUCAACAGGUCAAGCUUGCAGAGUCACUGGAACUAGAAGGUGUAGAUAUUAUUCAAACUGAGGGAGGAAAAUGUUCCAAUCCUACAAAGUCUGGUGUUCUAGGUUUGAUUGAGAAGGUAAACAGAAAAUAUGUUUCAUAAAUCAUGUUGUUAAGAGUCUGAAAAUAUUUAACAUGAUAGACAUGUGAUUCUGUUGAGUUUAGAUAAUGGUUGCUUGAGACAAACCUUUGCUUAAAUUAUCAAAAUUUUACUCGCUGGUUAUUGUAGGCGACACCAACUUUAGCAGCAGCUUAUUCUAUAUCACGAGCUGUUAAGAUACCUGUCAUGUGUUCGUCCGGGCUAAGUUCUGUUACAGCACCUAUGGCUAUCACUGCUGGAGCUUCUGGUGUGGUAAGGCUUUUUAUUAAAUCUCUUCCCACUUUAGCUUUUAUAGUAAAUCAGAAAUUGUAAUGAUAAGCGUACUAUACCUUUCUGGCGUGGCGAGUUAUUGAUCAUUGACUUUGGUUCGGUGUAUUUCCAAAUCACAGGGUGUGGGUUCUGCAGUUAACAAACUAAAUGACGUGGUUGCCAUGAUUGCUGAAGUUAGAAGCAUCGCUGAUUCAUUGAAGACGACAUCCUUUAAGACACGUGAAGUGGAAACUCAUAGACAGUAGUUCAACAUAUGUUGCAAAAAACAGCUUAAGGUGACUUAGGUAGUGAAUAAAACGUGUAAAGAAAAUCUGGAUCCUUCCUUAAGACUUAGAAUUGCUAGGAUCUAUCUUUCUUAUUUUUGUUUGUGUGGAUGUUGAUCCCAUAUUAUCAAAGAAUUGAAAUGAUUAGUAAGCUAUUUGGAGUUUUGCUUCCUUAAUGGAGUUGGUCAGUUGAGUAAAAUUAUGUGUUAUUCUGUUACCAAAGUAGUGCAUGUAUAAAGCUUUGUUUACACUAAGCAUUCACCAAAUGAUUCUAAAAUCAGACAUCAAAAGUCCUCAUAGAUACAACGAUGCCAUCAAAAGAUCUUUCAUUUGCAGCUUCGAAAUUCAUAGACACUGUUAUUUGCUUAUUAGUUGCAAAGCUCAUAGCGUAAUAUUUUUGCUAGAAGACAUGGAGACCGCAUGGUAAUGGAAAUGUCUGUGGAUAUUGCAUCACACAGAAUGAACCUGUUUAAAACAUAUAUGCCGAAAAGUGCGAUUUCAAUCAUCUAACAUAAGUACUUUAUUAAAACAAACCAACACAGAAAAAUGAUAAUUUUCUUUUUAUAAGCAGAAAAUGAUAAUUAUUCACAAGGACAAACUAAAGAUUGCUACAACUGAAUAUACAACUUAAGGUCCUCAAGUAGUUUCAAUUAAUACAGGUGAAGCCUUAUAAGUUACAAUCAAGAAAAUGAAUACAUGGUUUUACUCGUCAUAUUCGGACUCCUCGUCAGUUUCUUCAAAAUCGCCGUUUUCCUGCCGAGCAUCAGAAAACAAAUUGUAUAUUUAAUUACUAGCCAAACAAGAGUCAGUUCAGUAGGCAUGAAUAUGACAGAUUGGUUACCAUUUUCUUGUUAUAGUCUGUCAUUGCUCUAUCAAAUUCUGCACGUUUUUCUGUUGCUAUAUCAUAGUAUUUAACCUUCUCCUGUCAGAUACUAGUUUUGUUAACAUAGAACUCAACCAAAGUGAUGUUUCUUUUUUGGUCAGAUAAAAUUGAAGAAAAUAUAUGAACCACACAACUUCGCCAGGUAAUUAAACAGGAAACAAACUUGAAAAACUAGUUCUAUAUUUCAUUUGGAAUAAAUAGCAAAACGCUAAGCAGUAGCACAUCAAAAUCUGUUAACUCCACAUGCCUCAAUCGCAGGUCAGAUUCCACAGCGAAUGGCAUUUUAGAAAACUGGUUUUAACCCCUUUUCUUUCAUUUUCUCCAUUUCAGAUUUUGCUAGAUUUCAAGAUGAUUGCAUAGACACACAUAAACCGGGUGCUAUCAGGUCUGAUGAAUAACUAAAUGACUAAAUCAUCCUUCUUAAUGCCACCAAUAAAACAUAAAAAUCGAAAAAACACACUGUCCCUUAGUUAAUCAAGAAACUGAAGAUCAUGUCAGCCUGGAAUUCCGACCAGAGGAUACAGUUUUGCAACUUUUGCAUUACAGUAGCUGAAUUCCAAAAUUGUACAUACCAAGAAAUUCGAAAGUAGUCAUAAUGAAUUCCAACUGUUUCAAAUAUAACAAUAACUUGUUCUUCACAAGUUUUGUUCAAAAUUUAACUAAUCCAUAUUCAAGGAGGAAAACAAACCUCAUAAGUCAUUGUUUUCCAUUUAUCUCCACAUGCCUUGCCAAUCUGUAUGAACACAUGAAGGAGGAAAACAAAAAAGAAUAACAUUACUUAGCAUGAUGAUGAAGAUAACACAAUCUCAAGAACUAUGAUAUAACUAGAUUUUUAAAAAUUUAUGGUAAAUGUUUGUGUUGUUUAUAAUUUUAAACAAUCAAUUGUGCUACAAUCUUGCUUCAAGAGAAAUUAAAAGUAUAAAAUAAAUUAGAAGAAAUAUUAAAUCUGACAGAUUCUAUACAUACAUCACGCAUUGACUUUACAUCUGGAUUCUGGUCUUGAAACUCUUUCCGAAAAUCCACCCUUCCAAAUGAAAAAGAACUUCCAGUAAACGUAUUGAAGCAUUUUAAGAUUUUCCAUAUAAAAAAGAAGCAAUUGUUGUUACGUACAGUCACUAUGUUAGAUUAAUUAGCACAAUGUCAUUUAUAAAUGGUAGUAUGAUUGAACAAAGAACAAUAAGACACAGUAGAAGCAAGUCAAGGAAAUUAUCAGAAAAAAGAAAGAAGAAAAUAGUCAUUCUAAUUUGACUAAUGAUAACCAUGUUUGAAGAUGAGUAGUUAUCUCAACUCGUGAACGUGAGGUGGUGGUAAUGCUAAUAAACAAAUGGUUACUUCCUGAGCAUCAUUCAUCGAAAGUCAGAAUACACUCUACCUAAGUAAAAAUCCAUGAAAUACAACAGAAUGCGAUCAACUUCAGUGAUCGUAUAACUCUAAAGACAAAUACCAAGAUCGAUAGGAUGAAAAAAGAAAGCAAGUAUAUAACACCAACUAUAUUUGUUCAUCGACUUCAUUCUAAUACUGAAUCACUAAUGUCGAUGCUACUUUUUAUGUACAAAUAAAACUACUACCUAGACAAUACAAAAAAGAAACCGUACUGGAACUAAACUCUUAUCAAGUUAAUAUAUUCCUGUAAACACUUCAAACACAUUAAAAAGAGUAGUUUAUACUAACACAUUAAAAAGAAGAAUUAAACAUCAUAAACAAAGAACAAAAGGAGAUAAAAGAAGUUUUACAAGAAGUAGAAGAAAGCAGUGGGUGGUUUCUUUGGCUUCUUAGCAUCAAUCUUUUGUUUGUUCUUUUUCUGUUUUGCUCUGGUAGUCUCUCUUGACUUAGUCUGCCGCACCGAUCUCCUCAUCCCCUCGUUUGAUUUAACCCUCAACACUAGUUUACUGAAAAUCUCAAUGCAACAGUGUGGUUAGUUAAGGAAACUAUUUCUGCAUAUAGUUAAAUGUAAUAAUUGACAAAUACAGUUGAAAUUCACAUAAAAGUUUCAUGUCUAAAGACCAAAGCCAUCACAUAAAAGUUAACAACAUAUUUUCAAUAGAAAGAAAUUUAUCUAAAAGACUCAAAAGCCAAAAAUUUAAGAAAACAGAACCCGAUUUGACUGUAACAACUGAAAAUGUGGGUGAUUAAAAUUAAGUUAAAAAAUCACACAGUGGUCUUAAUAGAAGGAUUAAAAUUACAAUUAAACCUUUAACCAAAAUUUGGUUAGAAGCAAGGGAGGAGAAGGGACUAAAAUCCCUCCUCUGUGGAUUUUAAUUCCCAUCCAAUGAUUAAACCUUUAAACAAAAUUUGGUUUAAAGCAUUUUAAAUACAAUAAGGCCUCAUUUGGAUAAACAACUUAAUUAAGCAUGUAUAGCAUAAACGAUUAUCAUAUAAAUGCUUAUGUAUAACCUAUUUCUAUAGGAAAAAAAUAAAAUAAAAUAAAUAUGUUUUCAUAUAAGUUAUAGCUUAUUUUCAUAAACUAUCUUCAAGAGCUUGUGGAAAUAAAACUGAAAACAGCAUAUGGACAAGUCAUAAGUUGUUUACAUUAGCUCUACCUAACAGUCUCACAAGUGUUUAUGCCGGUAGAUAAACUCAGAUAAACUGAAAACAUCAUAUGGACAGUCAUAAGUUGUUUCCAUUAGUUCUACCAAAGAGUCUCACAAGUGUUUGUGUCUGUAGAUAAACUCGAAUAAACUGAAAACAUCAUAUGGACAAGUCAUAAGUUGUUUCCAUUAGUUCCACCAAAAGUCUCACAAGUGUUUAUGCCGGUAGAUAAACUCAGAUAAACUGAAAACAUCAUAUGGACAAGUCGUUCUACCAAACAGUCUCGCAAGUGUUUAUGUCAGUACAUAGACUCAAAUAAGUUUAAAAAUCUAGUCUUUCCCUUGUGAAUUAAACAAGGAGAGUAUUCCCUCUUUUGAACUAUAGUGAGUUUCAAACAAGUACAUGACUAGUACAACAUAAUUUUGGUAAAAACCCAACAAUCAAGUAAAUAAAUACCCUUUUGACUAUUACCUUUUUUGGGUUCCAAUAGGGAGCGUAGGGAAAAUGAAUAGAAGCGUGAAACAGUGAAGAAAAUGAAAAAGAAAUAGAGAAUAGAGUACCUGGAGGAAGUGGAAGUGGAGGCUGGAGAAACAACAGCGUUCUUAUUCUGAGAGGGUUUAGUCUUUUUCGCCAUUCGUGCGUCUCUCAACUUUCAACUCUGCNNNNNNNNNNNNNNNNNNNNNNNNNNNNNNNNNNNNNNNNNNNNNCCUGUACGAUUGCUUAUCAAAAAAAAAAAACUCUGCCUGUACGAUGCUUUAACAUCACCUUUUUUUUUAAUUUUAGGUUAAAUAUUUAUGUCAAAUAAAAAUAUUAACUUCUGAGUUCUGACAAAAAAUAUAUAAAUUUUUGGAGUAUUUUUUAGAUCAGUGUAACUCAUUUGGUAACUUUUGCACCGGUUUUGAACUCUGCCUCGUUGAAAUAUUGUUUUGAACUCCCCUCGUUGAAAAAUAAUUUGGGUAAUCCACGACCCAACUCAACUCGAAAAUUAGUGAAUUUAUUAAAUUCGGUCCAAUGUUAUAAUGAGUGUUUAUUUUAUUAGACCCAAAUGGUUCGAGUUUUGGUUUUGGCCAAAUGCAACCCAAUCCGGCCCACGUGCACCUCUAGAUUGAGAUAUGCUAAGGGCUCGAUUGAAUUUGACUUAUUUUUGAGGUUAUGAAAAUAGUUUGUGCAAAUAAAUAAAAUUUUAUGUUAAUUUCUAAGUUUUCACUAACAAAAAUAAUGCAUAAAAACUUAUAAUAAUGCAUAAAAACUUAUUUAUUUUGCAUAAACUGUUUCGUAUAAACUCAAAAAUAAGUCAAUUCAAACAUAUUUUUUUCAAAUUUAUCCAUUUGGUUUUUUUCAUAUGGUUUUGACUUUUGAAUAAACAGUAAGGACGGAAAAAGAAACUCUCUUAUAUAUUUUCUUUGCAAAAUUGUAUGCCUCUUCUAAAUUCUAGAUUUAGCAAUCUCAAGACCAAGAAAUGAAGUAUUUGAAUUGUUCAAGUACUUUCAAUUUGAACUAAUGCUGCAAUUUGAUACUGGCAAGAUGGACCAAAUGCUCGCUGGGGCUAGCAAUAGCAAUUACAUAGUGUGGUGCACUUUUAGGAGUUUUUUCUCUCCAAAUAAUUGUGCACUUCAAAUUCAACCACUCACACGUAAAUUCCAAUAAAUGCUAAUCCAUUUUUUUAAACUUGAAAGCUAUGAAGUCAUGAGGACAAAACAUGAGACGGACAUGACACUUACUUAAAUAUAUAAAUAUUGGGAAUAAUUUAGAAAUCGAAAGCAAUUGAUCGAACAUAGUUACAGAUGUCAUUGCAUGACACCAUACACACGUUUAACUUAAAGUGUCGGAUGCUACGUGAAUUUAGUUAUUUAAGAUAAUUCAGAGUCUAACCAAACAUUACAUGUAUUGUAAAUUUAUUACAUUAUGUUUGCUACUAGUACAUCAAGUUAGGGCCAGUAUUAAACUUGGCCUUUCCAAAUUUCCGAGUUCCACCAUUGUUGUUGAAUGCAUUUUUGGUUCUAUUAUUGAGAAGACUGGUCUAACGUCCAUUUGUAACUUGUGCACCAGUUUUGAAAUUAGCUUCAUCAAAAUCUUGACUGCCACCAGCUUGGUUGUUAAAGGCAUCAAUAGUGACAUUGUUUCCACCGUCAUUCCAACGAUAGAGAUUGUUCCUCCAUAAGUCAGCCAUUUUUCGAAAAGUUUAUGUGUUAAUCUCUGUGUUCUUGUGCUGUUUGUUUUGUCUUGGUGUUUGUUUCUAAUUGAAAACUAGCAUUUUAUAGAUACAAAAUAGUUCAAUUAUGGAGAAUCUUGUUAGUGAGGAUAAAUAAAUAAAUAAAUAUUGGAAUGAAUAUACACCAAAUACCAAUUAGAGUAUUAAUUCAAGAUAAGAUAAUCACAAAUUCUAUUUUUUUUACUUAAAGAUAAGAUAAUAACAAUUAUUGAUAGUAAAUGUUGCAUAUGCAUCUAAUCCUGAAUUUGAUUGAUUGAUAUGUAUAGCACAUGUUUGAAUUUAUGCUGGGAUUAUUUCUAGUUGAGAUUGUGAAAUCACCUUCGUCUCUUUUUUUCUUUCUUAUCCACCAACUUUGUUGAUGAUUGAUCUUUGAGGAGAGACAUGAAUGAUCACCUUUAAUGAAGACUCCAUCCACUUAACAAGUUGUCUACACAAAAGUGUUUAAGGUAAAAGUGUACAUCAAUCGCGUCUAUUUAGUUUGAGUCAAACAUCAUUUUGUUUAAUUAAUUUUUUUUCUUUGGGUUUUUCACCAUCAGUUGAAUCUGGUUCGGGGGUCAGUUUGUUUAAUUAAAUUUUAUCGGUUUAGAUUUGGUCAAAAUCUCAUAGCUUAAUGUUAAACUUCAUCAAUCUAACCUAAUAAUGAAUGAGUUUUUAGUGUUGUCAUCGGGUCAUAAAUAAGCUAUGAAAUGUACUAAAAUUUCAAAAAGAAAAUAAUUAAAUGAUAUUCUUUCAAAAUUUCAACAAUUAGACUACAUGCAUUACUUAAACUUUCAAACUUUUGAUUCAACACAUCAAAUUUUUAAUCUACAUUCACAAAAAUAAAAAAACUCAAAAACAUAAUAUCCAAAUCAAAUUAGCUAAGAGAUGUUCUGCACUUGUUUUGGAGUUGAGUGUUUCGUUUGAAAUAUUGUGAAAUUUUGCCAAAGUCGGAAACAAUAAUUUCGCCGGAAACUAUGUCCAUGGAUGAUGACGACAUUUUACAUCCCGUAACACUGAUAAUUUACUAACAUAUAUAAUUUAUUGGCAUAAUAUAUCUACCAAUAAACUAUAUUGUUCAAUUUUUUAUACAAUAGUUUUGUUCACUUAUUGAGGACUUUUUCCACCAAUAAAUGAUGAUUUUCUUGUAAUAAGAACUAAUUUAACAGUUUAAGUUUAAUAGAGUGAUAGACUUUUUUUUAGAAUAUUCAUAAAAAUCAAAAAUAUAUUUAAGAUUAACUAAGAUAGUGGGUUCUUUUCGGAGGAUGUGUCAUUUUCUUCAUUUUGAUAAAAAAAAAUGCAGUUGUUUCUUUAUUCAUUUUAUUUAAUAGUAGUUAUACAAAGAAAAAAGAAUAUUAAAAAGGUGUAUUCGUGAAAAUUCGUGUUCAAACUCUUUGCACCAUAUAUGAUAGUUGUUAAUAAAAUUAGUAAUUUCUAAAAGAAAAAUAAAAUUGUUGUGUAAGAAAAAUGUCAUUUUCUUUCCUAGCUACCGAUUAGGGGAUCAUGAUUUGAUGCAUUAAUAUUUUUAGAAAAAAAUGCAUAAUGCAAAAUUAAAUUAAAUUCAAGCAAUUAUUUUUAUAAUAAAGAAAAUCAAAUAUUUUUCAUAAUCAUAAUUUAAUAUAAAAUUUAGACUAAACAUUUUAUUGAAUAAAUUUCAAAUACUCCUUUCAAACAAAAUAAUGAUUGAAACAAAUCUGACUUGAGUAAUUCAAUUGUGAGUGCUUAUAUUAUAGAUGAGCAAAUUUUAAUCAUUGCAUGCAAGAAUAAUUAGAGCAUCUUUAAUUAAUGGUUAAGCUUAUAUAAGCACGUGAUAACGUUCGAGUCCAUACUAGGAGCUCUACCAAACUCAAAAUCUUAUCUCCCAUAUGUGGAUGAUACUAGUGCCCUUAAAUAGUAUUUUGGUGGUUCAUAGUGUAUUUAAAUGUAUUGAGUUUGAGGGUUGUUGUGUUUGCGAAAUGCUAAAAUUAUGAGUCUAAUUUGUAUAAUUGAAAGUGAAUCACACUAAAAAAAAUAAAUAGAAUAUAAAGUGGUUGAGAUGUGAUCAUGUCACAUGGAUGCUCCCAACCCAACUCCUAAAAAUAAUAUAAUGUAAUUGUAAUUCGAAUGAUAAAUUUUAAUAAUUUAUUUAUUUAAUUUUAUCUUUAAUUAUUUGAUUUUAAAAAAUAUUUUUCUUUUGGUGAAAGUAUAAAUUAAUAUUUUUAUGAAACUAUUACAUUGUUCUUGUGACUCAUCAGAUUCAUCAAAGUGAGUCGGAUCGGUAUAUUUGACAGCUUUAUUUGUGAGUAUCUCUCAUAUAGUACCAUACUACUAUAUGAGCCGGUUAAGAAAAAAUAUUCAAGUACUAGCAGUGACGGAGCCAAAAACUUUGAAUAAUGAGGUCAACAUUUAAGGAAACAAAAAUAUAAUAUUAAUAAGAAAUAUGUAUGAGUGCAUAAAUAACAAAUAAAUUGUGCCAAAAAUCAACUUAAAUAUGAGUAAUUAUUAAAUAUUAAACAAGUCUUGUUUAAAGAAAGGACAAACCACCAUUUUAGUCCUUGAAAAUGUAUCUCGGAGUCACAUUCGUCCUAGAAUGUAUCAAAAUUGCAAUUAGGUUUCUAAGUGUCUCUUUUAUUAAUCAUUUUGAUCUUCAAAUCUGAUUUUAGGUAGUCAAUUUGACACUCAAAUGUAUUUUACGCUAGUUAUUUUAGUCCAUAAAAUUACUAAUAAAGAGAUACUAUGGAUGUAUUUGCAAUUUCAAUAUAUUUAAGGAUCAAUAUAACAGCGAGUUACAUUUCAAAAGACUAAAAUGAUGAUUUGCCCUUAAAGAAAUGAAUUUAUAUAAAAGAAAAAUAUAUACAUGCAUAUAGACACACUAGGUCAUUUGUUGUUGUAAUAUAUGCCUUUUUUCCAAAAAUAAAGUAUUUUAAACUAUGCAUUGCUAGACACAUAUACAUUUACUAGUACAUAGUAGCAAAUUAAAAUUGAAGUGGGGCUCCUGCCCACACAGCCUGGCUCCGUCCCUGAGUACUAGUUAAGCUCAAUGUAUCAUUUUCAUGAGUCAAAAACAAGAUGUCAUUUUCAUAAAACUAGAGCUCCGUAGCCUUGUUUAUCUAAUGCGUAUCAACUACAAUUAACAUGAAUGGGCAUUUGGUCUAGUGGUAUGAUUCUCGCUUAGGGUGCGAGAGGUCCCGAGUUCAAUUCUCGGAAUGCCCCUUUUUGCAUAUUUUUGGCCUAUUUUUUUCAACUUAAACUUCAUUCAUUCAUAUAAUCACUUAAAUUAAUAAUAAUCAAAUACGAAGGCAUACUUAGAUAACUAAACUUCAUUCAUUGAUCACUUCACUUAAAGUACUUAUAGGCAGCACACUUUAGUUUUUAUAAAACUAAAUAGAAAUAAAUUACAUAAGAUCCUAGUAGCUCUAAUGAAGUUAGGAUUAUAUAAAUCAAACAUAGUCAUACAAGUAUAAUCUAUGCCUAAAUUAUACAAGUAUGCCUAAAGUCAUUAUUCUAUAAUAAUAUAUAUCUUCCAUCAGAGCUUCUCAUCUUCCACUAUGCAUAUUUGCAGCUCCCAUAACCUAUUAAACAUAAAUCAAACAUAACAAAUUAAACCAUGUACAAAAUAUAUUUAAUUGUAACUAAAUCACAUAAAAAUAAAAGGAGGCCUAAUUAACAAAUUAAGUAAUUACUUGGAUCAGUGACAACAAUUAGGGCAGACCCAGAAAAGUAACAAUCCCAAGCAUUUCUUCCAUACUUAGCAUAGUAUUGAUUCAUAACAACAGAGGCAUGGUUUAAGGGUGUGUUUGGGUAGAAACAAGAUCCACCAACUUGAAUAAUCUUGCAAUCCCCCAACAUGUUACAAGCAUAUUCUAUGUUUUCAUUCAGUUCAACUUCACUUGCUGAAAAUUUUGCCACACACCAAGUUGCCUAUAAUAAUUAAUUUCAUCACCAAAUCAAACCAAAAAAUAAAAAAAUCAUUAGUUUUGUUACACUUUUCUAUGUAAUAAAAAUAAUUAUACUGUGAUAAAAAGGAAAUUUUAUUUUUACCGUUCCAUUAGCAAAUUUCACAUGCCCUCCUGCAAAAAUAAAUCUAAAAGGGUCAAACCAAAAUAGAGUAAAGUUUUUGCAAUUCAAUGGAAGGUAUGAAUAUAUGUGUACACAUAAAAUGAGAAAUGUGACAAGUAUGAGUAAAUCAUAAUGGACCUAUAUUAUGUAUAAGAUCUAAAUUAAUUAAAUGCAAUUCAUAUAGCCAAGAACUAAUUCUAUACCUGCAUUGAGGUAAAGGAAGAGAAAGAUGAGCAUUGAUUUGGUCAUCAUUGUGUGAUAGCUAGCAAGGAAAUAUUUAGAAACCAAAAGGUGAAUAUGAAUGAAAAUAGUUUGUGGUGUAAAUGUGAAGUGUGAAAGGUUAGAGAGUAUAUAUACAAGGGUAUGGAAUUGAUGUGGUAAGAUAAUGAGUUGGCUCUAUAAGUUUAUUUUACCAUUUAAGGAAUUAACCAUUUACUUGGUCAUUAAAGAUAGUAUUUACAACUAGUUUAAUUUGUCGUUUAAAGUCCAUUCACCUUCUCAUACACACACUAUACUUACUAUAGGAAGUUUAAUUUACUUAGUCAUCAAAGAGGGUACUAAAAGUUUGGAAGUUCGACGUGACAUAUCCUAAUUGGAAUGUGUUUGGAAAUUUAAUUUAAUUUAAGGACCAAUGUCCUCUAGGCAUUAAUUAGUUAAAAACCAGAGGCGUUUUUGCGACAUGUGCGACGGCAUAAGACCUCAUAAAAAUAGGGGUCUCUAAAAAAAAUUAAGGAUAGUAGUAUUGGUAAAUAAGAGGUAUAAAACUAGGGAUUACAAGCUUCCAAAUGAGAGAUUGUGGAGUUCAAAUACCUGAGAUACUCUUUAUUCUAAAAUGAUGAAUUUAUUUGUUACAAAAUGUUUCUAAUUUUUUUUACUGUGAAUAUAUUUUUUAGACGUUUUAUAGCUAAUUAUUAUACUAUAGUUUUAUAAAAUAGAGAGACAUGUAAUAUAGAUUGUCUUGUUUACCAAACUUUUUUUAUAUUAGUAAAAAAAUGAUUAUUUUUUAUGGUUAUUGAUAUUGUUUUUCAUUUAAAUCGUUGACAAUUUUUUUGAAUUUUUCUUUUAUUAGGCCUAUUUUUAAUAAUCGCAUAGGGUCUCCAAAAAGUUGGAAACACCCUUGUUAAAAACUUAUGCAACCACCAUCAAAUGUUUUUAACUUAGAAAAAAAUGUCGGUAAAAAAAAAACUUGGAGAAAACGUAUAAUGGUUGAUUUCUUUAUUAUAGGACAUGGUAUUUACAGUACUAUUUAGGACUAGUAAUUCUGUGGUAAGUAAAGUAUAAUAUUUUUUUUGUCAAAUAUAAUGAAAUUACAUUAUAUCUUAGUCGGUCCUAAGGUCGGAUACCAAGUUUUCAAUAAAAAAAAACAAAAAAACAUUAUAUCUUAGUCACUUGUGUAAACAAUUUUAAACCACAGGGCUUGAUAAUUCUUUUGGACUUGGUGUUAACUGGGAUAGCAUAUUGAGCUCAUCAUAAAUUAUACAAAGUUUCAAAUAAAAUCCUCACAUAUGUUUUCUUUCUUUCUACCGAAACAAAUUUAAUUCAUUUUAUUAAUCAAAUAUGCAUCAAUAUAAAGAAAAAUUGGUUCAAAAGACACCAACUAGCUAAACUAAGAAUUGGUUGGCCGCCCUAACAAAAAAAUUGAACAUUCAUAUGUAACUAAGAAUUGAUUGGUCACUCUAACAAUGAAAUUAAAAAUUUAAAAUGUAACAAUAACAAAGACUUAAUAAACAAAAUUAACAUGUUAAACUCGGAUACACCAAUGCAUAAAAAAAUAAAUAACAUACACCAAAAUUUUAAAAUCACCCUCAAAAGUCACAUGGGUGAUCACAUAUUUCUUAAAACUUAAAAGUAUGAAAAAAGGUGUGACAUUUUAAUAUUAACUAAAGUUAGCAAGUUCUUCUUAAGGGUAGGAGAGGAGAUCACAUGUAAAUGUAAUAUUGGUAAUGUUAAUGCAAAAGAAGCAACCUAAAAACGUGUUUCGUCGUUCCUUAGUUUUUUUAUGUCCCUUAGUGCACAUAUUAAGAUAUACCAAAAUAGAAAUUCAAUAUUUAAUUAUACAAGAAAUUUAAUGCUUCAAAAGUCAAAAUGCACAAAUUAGCAUUUAAUAAUUUUUAUUUUUGCUUCCUUAACAUGUACCUUAAGGGCACAAGUUAAUAUUCUCCUUUCUAUAAUUAUAUGCUGCACAUUAAUGUGACUUUUAGCUUUCUCAUUUUACUGUGUGGAUGAAUUAUAUCCUUGAAACUUUCAUUAAAAAAAAAAGUUUUGGGGUUUGAGUUAUAGUAAGUUGAAUUGAAACAUUUUUUAAAUGAUUGUUAAAUAUCUUGACUUAGAGUUGGAGUUCUUUUACUAGAAUUUAAACAAAUAUUAAUUCAAUAUUGAGGUUGAAUUUAAAAAUUGAUCUCUAAGUCAAUUGACAGCCUCACAACUCACAUGUGAGUUACCCGAAUAGUCAUACCUAUAUAUGAAAAGAAGAAGUAAAAAAAUCGCAUCACAUGAUGUUGUGAAUUAACCGUAUCACAUAUUCACAUAGAUGUACCAAAAAGAAGACGUACUAUCUCCGUCCCAAAAUAUAAGUAAAAAUUGGUCAAUAAAAUUGAAUGUAUUUGGUCCAAAUUUUUAAUCAAAUUAAUCAUGUUUUUUUGAUUAACUCAUUUUUGCUUAUAUUUUGGGACGAAUAUCUUAUAAGUAGCAAUUGUAUGUCUUUAGUUCAAUUAAGGGUUUGUCUUGGUUUUUAGACGAAAAUUUCCAUCAAGGAUUCAAGGUACACACACUAAAACUUUAUCUAUACUGUACUAAUUAAGUAGUAAAAGUUUUUCGUAUAUGAAUAAUAACUAGAAUUUCAACUUAAGGUUUACCAUCAAAGAAAGUAAAUCACAAUACUUUUUAAUUUUUAAAGUUGUAGGAUUGAUCGACUUCAAAAGAAAAAUACUUUAAAGAAUCAAAAUCUCACACGAUCCAAAUUCAAUAAUUAUUAGGUUUUUGAAACUGAAUUUGGUUAAAAGGUUUGUUUCACAAUAAACAUUUUCAAUCGUAAGAGAAAGCAAGACAAAGACAAUCGAUAAUAUAACUAAAAAAACGAAUGAAUAAAUCAACAGAAGUAAAAAAAAUUAUUAUACUAAAAACACUUUAAACAAAGGCUUUACAUAGCAGUACUUCAUUAAUAAUAAUAAAGUUUACUGUAACUUUUUGUUAAACGAUAAAGGGUAAGAUAACUUGUAUCCUAAGAACAUGAGUUAAGUACUUAAAAUAAAGAAAUUAUGUUAGAAAAAAUAGAAAAUUCACCAGGGAUUAUACAUUUUUCUCCCUCUUUACACUUUUUUGUUAGAAUUGUAUUUUCUCUCACGUCAAAGAAAAGCAUUCAUCUCUCACAAAUGGUCCCUAGGGCUUACAAUUGCGGAACAACUUUCAAAAUAAUAUGUUUACGACAUAAGACAGAAGUUAACAUUCUACUUAAAAAAAAAAAACACAUACGUACUUUACGCUGCGCAUUCAUAACCUAUUAUGUAAGGCCUUUUUCUUUUGUCCAAAUUGGAAGGCUUAAUAUAAAUAUAUAUAUUGUUCACAAAAGUAACCAAAAAAAUAAUAUUAUUCACAAAAACAAAAAGUAUACAUCAUGUACUACAAUAUUAUUACUUUUUUAUUAUUAUUUGUGGCCAAGGUCGACAAUGAAGGAGUUGCAAGCAUGAACAUAUAAUGUAGCCAUGCAUGAUGACUUAAGAAGAGAAUAUAAUGAGAAAAAAGAUAAGCACUGCAAGAACAACGGGAAACACCAAUAGCAACGGAAUUCCAGGGGGUGAUACCGCUCCCAUAAAAAAUGCACCAAACAAAAUAAUUGCUGCAAUAAUCAAAAACACCACAAUAGAACCAUCACCCCAUACUUCUGGUUGCCUGCUAUUUCCCAUGCUAACUAAUUACUUUAAGAUUAAUACUAUAUUGUUAAAUGAUUGGUAAUUUAUUUUGAGAUAAAUAAAUGAUUGGUAAUUUAUGCUAUAGUGGCAUGCCCUAUAUAUACAGUUCGAAAGGGUGCGUAAAAAGGUGUUCGUAUGUAGGAAAUGGCACAACGUUUGGUGAACGGCGGGAAUCAAAGGGUAUAACCGGAACAUUUCAAAAUAUUUGUUAUACAGUUUAUUUUGUCAAAAACUACAUUUUUCUAGAUGUAGCUAGGUCCGUUGGAUCUAUAAAACGGUAUUAGAGAUAACCUAUGAAACACGAACACCUCUAUGACUAGACGUGUUGUGGUGUCCGACAUUUGUAUGACGCUUGUACGACACGUGUCGGAUAGCGCCGAUGUCCGAAAAAAAUAAUCAAUUUUUACUUUACUUUAACACUCCUUUGAUGGUGUCUGACCUAUGAAGCAUGAAUUUCGACACAAACACCGCGACACGACACUGACACGGACUCGGCAACACCGCUAAUGUAAAAAAUAUAAGACACCAAAACCGCUACAUAUUUAUAAAACAUAUAAAUUUAGAAUCAAAAUAUAUAAAUGUAAAUCUAAGUUGAGCAAAUUAUUUCUUAAAAAAAGUUUUAAAACAAGAUAGAAUAAUAUUUUAUCUUUUAUUUAUCCAUCUACAAUCGAAAAACCUAAAAAUAUUGAUCAAUAAAAGGUAAGAUAUCUACAUAUUUUACAUUUUCCUUACCUUUUCGAACGCUUGUACGACAUGUGUCGGAUAGCACAGACCGAUGUCCAAAAAAAUAUCAAUUUUACUUUACUUUAACACUCCUUUGAUGGUGGCUGACCUAUGAAGCACAGACUCCUACACGAACACCGCGAAACGACACUGACACGGACUCGGCGACACCGCUAAUGUAAAAAAUAUAAGACACCGAAACCGCUACAUAUUUAUAAAACAUAUAAAUUUAGAAUCAAAAUAUAUACAUGUAAAUCUAAGUUGGGCAAGUUAUUUCUUAAAAAAAGUUUUAAAACAAGAUAUAAUAAUAUUUUACCUUUUAUUUAUCCAUCUACUACCGAAAAACCUAAAAAUAUUGAUCAAUAAAAGGUAAGAUAUCUACAUAUUUUACAUUUUCCUUACCUUUUCGAGACGUCUUUAACUCUUGUGGAUAUGUCUGUUAUGUGUCUAAGGAGAGUAUAAGUAAAUAAGUCCCAAAGUAUAAAAAAAAUCGAUUUUUUUUGACACCGGUCUGAGCUAUCCGACACGUGUCGUAGGAGUGUCAUACAAGUGUCGGACACCAACACGUGUCGGAUACCGCAACAUGCAUAAUCAUAGAGGUGUCGGUGCUUCAUAGUGUCUGACACUUGUUAGACACCCGUACGACACGUGUCCCAAAAAAAAUUAUUUUUUAUUUGGUUAUAUUCUUCUUAGACACAUAUCAGACAUAUCUACGAGAGUUAAAGAUGUGUCGAAACAACAUUAUUGAUCAACAAAGAAUUGAAGACAUUACAUUUUGAUUACAAUAAUUUUAGCUUUUCGACAGUAGAUGGAUAAAUAAAGGUUAAAUACUAUUUUGGUUUAAAACUUCUUUUAAAAGAUAACUUUCUCAACAAUUAGAUUUACAUGUUUAUAUUUUGAUUCACAAUUUAUAUCAUUUAUAAAUAUGUAGCAGUAUCGGUGUCCUAUAUUUUUUACAUUAGCGGUGUCGCAGUGUCUAUGUCUAUGUCGUGUCACGGUGUCCGUGUCAGAGUAUGUGUUUCAUAGGAGAUAACAAUACAUUAUAUGACAAAGUUUAAUUUUAAACAUUAUAUAUGAUGUUCGGUGUACAAAAAAUUACUUGUUAUUUUAAACAAUUUAUGCAGAGGACAUAAAUUGUCUCGUGAUUUAGUGAGUAACAAUAAUUUUAAUUUUUGUGCAGUUCAUUAACCUCCCGUUUGUCUAAUCCUAUGAAACAAAUUUAAAAUCAAAUACAUUAAUAUGCACAGUUUGCCAUAUGACUGAUCUAUUAAUGUUGUAUGAUUAAAAUACAUAACAUAGUAUUGUAAGAAAGAAAAAAAAAUAUAGCAUAGGUAUGUAGUAUAUGUGAGUUCUAAUAUAUUAACUACAAAAUAUAUACAACAUACAAUUCUAAAAGACUGCAAAAACAUCCUUCAAGUAGCUUUGUCUUUAUUCCUGCUUACCAAUUAUAUGUGAAAUUCCAAGUUGUUCUACAAGCAAGAAGGGAUGAUCAUGAGGGCUUUGAGUUACAUGAACAAUUUGAUCAAAGGAACUAAGGAAGGGAGUGAAAAUUGGCUUUAAGCGUGAGGCAGAAAAUUGAGGGAAGAGAGGAGUGAGUUUUUGUUGACUAUACUUGGUUGACCAAAAACACUUGUAUAAGGAGACUUCUAGCGCUGAAUUACUUUCAUACCCUUAAAUUAUAUUUCAAUUUUAAUUUUACUUGUGGGUAACUCAAAUAUAGACGGAUAUAAUGUAAGUACUAAUCACUACUUAACACUGUUUUAUAGCUUCUAGCGCUUGAAUAAGGAGGCUUUUAGUGCUGAAUUGUAUACCCUUAAAUUAUAUUUCAAUUUUAAUUUUACUCAUCAGUAAUAACUCAAAUAAAGACGGAUAUAAUGUAUCAAUUUUGAAUUGGUUCAAGUGGUAAGAGUCUUGAUCCCCUUAAACAUGUAGUGAGAGGUUCGAUUUAUGACUUAUGCAUCUCGAAAAAAUUCGGUUGAGAUAUAUAUAUAUAUAUAUAUAUAUUUUGUUGUAAACCGAUAUUUGUUGUCUUACCUACAACUUAAUUAAUAAUUAAUCAUAAGUUGUUGCCAAGAAGUGUUAGAAUUUGAUCUUCAUAUAGGCUUUGUCUAAAAUGAAAGAGUUAGACACCGGUGCACCACUUGUCAAUAACUCUAUAACGAAUACGAAUUUUACAAAAUUCAGUGUUGGAUUGAAAGUUUAUAUUAUAUAGAUCAUCCAUAUAAAUUUUUAAAAAAAUUGAAAAUCAUUUGAUGUGUUAUUGAGAUCCACCAAAAUUAACGGUAUUCAAUAAAAACUCAUAAACCAUUAAUCUUAACACAUCAAAUGAUUUUCAAGUUUUUUUUAGAAAAUUUACAUAGNNNNNNNNNNNNNNNNNNNNNNNNNNNNNNNNNNNNNNNNNNNNNNNNNNNNNNNNNNNNNNNNNNNNNNNNNNNNNNNNNNNNNNNNNNNNNNNNNNNNNNNNNNNNNNNNNNNNNNNNNNNNNNNNNNNNNNNNNNNNNNNNNNNNNNNNNNNNNNNNNNNNNNNNNNNNNNNNNNNNNNNNNNNNNNNNNNNNNNNNNNNNNNNNNNNNNNNNNNNNNNNNNNNNNNNNNNNNNNNNNNNNNNNNNNNNNNNNNNNNNNNNNNNNNNNNNNNNNNNNNNNNNNNNNNNNNNNNNNNNNNNNNNNNNNNNNNNNNNNNNNNNNNNNNNNNNNNNNNNNNNNNNNNNNNNNNNNNNNNNNNNNNNNNNNNNNNNNNNNNNNNNNNNNNNNNNNNNNNNNNNNNNNNNNNNNNNNNNNNNNNNNNNNNNNNNNNNNNNNNNNNNNNNNNNNNNNNNNNNNNNNNNNNNNNNNNNNNNNNNNNNNNNNNNNNNNNNNNNNNNNNNNNNNNNNNNNNNNNNNNNNNNNNNNNNNNNNNNNNNNNNNNNNNNNNNNNNNNNNNNNNNNNNNNNNNNNNNNNNNNNNNNNNNNNNNNNNNNNNNNNNNNNNNNNNNNNNNNNNNNNNNNNNNNNNNNNNNNNNNNNNNNNNNNNNNNNNNNNNNNNNNNNNNNNNNNNNNNNNNNNNNNNNNNNNNNNNNNNNNNNNNNNNNNNNNNNNNNNNNNNNNNNNNNNNNNNNNNNNNNNNNNNNNNNNNNNNNNNNNNNNNNNNNNNNNNNNNNNNNNNNNNNNNNNNNNNNNNNNNNNNNNNNNNNNNNNNNNNNNNNNNNNNNNNNNNNNNNNNNNNNNNNNNNNNNNNNNNNNNNNNNNNNNNNNNNNNNNNNNNNNNNNNNNNNNNNNNNNNNNNNNNNNNNNNNNNNNCUUGUUAUUUUAAACAAUUUAUGCGGAGGACAUAAAAUGUCUCGUGGUUUAGUGAGUAACAAUAAUUUUAAUUUUAAUUUUUGUGCAGUUAAUUGACCUCCAGUUUUUCUAAUCCUAUGAAACAAAUUUAAAAUCAAAUGCAUUACUAACUACAACUGAAAUUAUAAUGUCUAACGCACUCUUAAAGAAUAUGCACAGUUUGCCAUAUGACUGAUCUAUUAAUGUUGUCUGAUUAAAAUACAUAACAUAGUAUUGUAAGAAAAAAAAAUAUAUAGCAUGUGAGUUCUAAUAUAUUAACUACAAAAUAUAUACAACAUACAAUUCUAAAAGACUGCAAAAACAUCCUUCAAGUAGCUUUGGCUUUAUCCCUGCUUACCAAUUAUUUGUGAAAUUCCAAGUUGUUCUACAAGCAAGAAGGGAUGAUCAUGACUUCAUGAGGGCUUUGAGUUACAUGAACAAUUUGAUCAAAGGAAGGGAGUGAAAAUUGGCUUUAAGCGUGAGGCAGAAAAUUGAGGGAAGAGAGGAGUGAGUUUUUGUUGACUAUACUUGGUUGACCAAAAAUACUUGCAUAAGGAGACUUCUAGCGCUGAAUUACUUUCAUACCCUUAAAUUAUAUUUCAAUUUUAAUUUUACUCGUGGGUAACUCAAAUAUAGACAGAUAUAAUGUAAGUACUAAUCACUACUUAACACUGUUUUAUACUAGCUUCUAGCGCUUGAAUAAGGAGGCUUUUAGUGCUGAAUUACUUGUAUACCCUUAAAUUAUAUUUCAAUUUUAAUUUUACUCAUAAGUAAUAACUCAAAUAAAGGCGGAUAUAAUGUAUCAAUUUUGAAUUGGUUCAAGUGGUAAGAGUCUUGAUCCCCUUAAAUAUGUGGUGAGAGGUUCGAUUUAUGGCUCAUGCAUCUGAAAAAAAUUCGGUUGAGAGGGGAGAUAUAAUGUAAAUACUAAUCACUAACAUUGUUUUAGCUUCUAUCCCUUGAAUAGGGAAGCUUUUAGGGCUGAAUUAUAGCUUGCAUCGACACUAUUUUUCAUCUAAAACUAGAUAUAUAUAUAUAUAUNNNNNNNNNNNNNNNNNNNNNNNNNNNNNNNUAUUUGUUGUCUUACCUACAACUUAAUUAAUUAAUCAUAAGUUGUUGCCAAGAAGUGUUAGAAUUUGAUCUUCAUAUAGGCUUUGUCUAAAAUGAAAGAGUUAGACACCGGUGCACCACUUGUCAAUAACUCUAUAACGAAUACAAAUUUUACAAAAUUUAGUGUUGGCUUGAAAGUUUAUAUUAUAUAGAUCAUCCAUAUAAAUUUUUUAAAAAAUUGAAAAUCAUUUGAUGUGUUAUUGAGAUCCACUAAAAUUAACGGUAUUCAAUAAAAACUCAUAAACCAUUAAUCUUAACACAUCAAAUGAUUUUCAAGUUUUUUUAAAAAAUUUACAUAGAUGAUCUAUAUAAUAUAAACUUUCAAUCAAACAGUAGAUUUUAUAAAAUACAUAUUCGUUAUAACAUUUAUUAAGAAUGGUGCACCGUGCAAGACUUAGUGCACUUGUGCACCUAAUGUUAUUAUAUUUGUAGUUAUGAAUGUUAGCUUUUACGCAUGUUUCUUUUAAAAAUGACACUUAUAAUUCAAAAUAUAAACUAAAGUUUACAUUGCGUUCAACAUCAACGCGUAUUUUUAUUCUUACUUCCAAGUCAAUAUAAUUUCAUAUGAAAAAAAAUUAUAAUUAAGUUGCGUGUUACAUCAAAAACGAUAUGAACUACACAUAACUUAAGUUCAACACACUGAACGACCUUAAUUUUCAAUUUAAAAUCGACUCAUUUGGUUUAUAAACUAAACUCAAUGAAUUAAUUAAUAGAUUGAGUCCCAAACUCUUUUUGAGUUGGUUAGAUUUAUUGCCAACCCUAAUAUGUCAUCCAAACAUCGAAAAAGAUCACACAAAAUUUGUUGUCUCCUUGUGGGUCCAUUACAAUUCACAAUGUUAUUUUUCAUGCAUCGAUUUACGUAAUUUUUUUUUCUUCCAUUUUCUUUUCAUUGUACCAAACGGACCAUAAGAUUUUUGUGCGAAAGAAAACAUGCGGGUAUUCUAGUUAUUUUUAUUAAAAACAAAAAAAAUCAAUUUGUAACAUACACUAAUGGGCCCGGGUUAACAUAUGGUUUUUUAGGCCCAAAUCUUUAUUCAUCUCUAACCUAGCAAUUCACGUUCUGCAAAUUCGCGUUUGGUGCUUUCUGAACCAAACGAGCACUCUGUCUCUCGCAUACAGUAAAAGCAAAUUGUGCCGACGAACCACCGCAUCUUCUGCCGGCGAACUACCACACUUCGCUGCAACGGAUUCUGCAUAGAUAGAGAGAGAGAGAGAGUUUNNNNNNNNNNNNNNNNNNNNNNNNNNNNNNNNNNNNNNNNNNNNNNNNNNNNNNNNNNNNNNNNNNNNAGAGAGAGAGUUUGAUAAUAAGUAAGAAAAGAGAGAAUGAAGCUUGACGUAGACGUUUUGAGAUAUCUCUCCAAAGAUGAUUUUAGGGUUCUUACCGCCGUUGAAUUAGGCAUGAGAAACCACGAAAUUGUACCCAUUGAACUCAUUGAUCGAAUCGCUCGUCUCAAGUAUAUGCAUCAUUCAUUCUCUUUUACAUUAUCAUUGGUAUUACUAUUACUAUUCAAUUUCACAUUUUCAUCUUCAUUCAUUAUAGGCAUGGUGGCACCUACAAGGUCUUGAAAAACUUGCUUAAACAUAAGCUGUUACAUCACGACUCUUCUAAAUGUUAGUUAGUACCUUCUAAUCUUUGUUUAAUCAUUAUUAUUAUUGUUAACUUAUUAAAUAAUGAUAGAACAUGUUCAUAUAAGCUUAAUUUACUUUUAGAUGACGGGUUCCGCUUAACCUACCUUGGUUAUGAUUUUCUUGCCAUCAAAACAAUGGUGAACAAAGGAGUUUUUGUGGCUGUUGGUCGCCAGAUUGGUGUUGGAAAGGAAUCUGGUUAGUGUUUAUUUUAAAUGUUUUAAUUUAUGAUGCUUUUUUUUUCAGUGGAUUUCGAUCCUAAUUGUGCCAUUUGUGAUUUGGUAGAUAUAUUUGAGGUUGCUACUGAAGAUGGAACUGUUUUAGCUAUGAAGUUACAUAGGCUUGGUAGAGUUUCUUUCAGAGCUGUUAAAUCGAAGCGUGACUAUUUAAGACAUCGUAGUAGUUAUAAUUGGCUCUAUUUAUCUCGUCUUGCUGCGCUUAAAGAGUUUGCUUUCAUGAAGGUUUCACUCUCCCUGUCCUCUACUGUUUUUGCAUCUAGCUAUAUACUUGAUUUGAAUUGUUUUAGUGACAUGUGCUUUUCUUGAGCAGGCUUUGGAAACACAUGGCUUUCCCGUUCCACAAGCUAUUGAACAUAAUCGACAUUGUGUAAUCAUGUCACUUGUCCAAGGUUAUCCUUUGUAAGUGCCCUUCUUUCUUUUUGUGAAAAAUCAUAAAAGUCGUUUAGGGUUGCAUUCAUGUUAAAUGUAUCUCCUGAUUUACUGAACAAAAUUAGUCAACUCUGACGGUGUUGGAUAUUGUGAUUGUAUAAUUGCUGCUAACUGCUAAGUAAGUACUCUUGGGGUGGUAUUUGUUUUGUCACUGUCAGAAUUGUAUUAAAUUUUAUGUGUGGUCAAUGAAUUGGUAUUCCAUCAGUACCAGGAUAUGCUUGAGGUUUGACCAUUUGAUCCUUGCUUUUACAUCUUGUUCAUGUAGAAUAUUUAGCAUUCCUUAAGCAGGGUUGUUGUUUGAUGAUUAUUAUCAUAGUCCUAACGCAUUGGAUGCAUGUGCUUUUGUUCCAAAUUGCAUGUAGUCACUUGUGGUUUAUAUUGUAUUAAUACUUCAUCUCCGAAGAUAGUCACUGUCAGUUUCUAUCUUUUAGGAUUCAAAUUUCUUAUGUCAUACCACAGUUUUUAAUUCUAGGUCCUCUUUACUUUUCAGAACUAGAUGUAGUAGUUGCCACAAAAGUAUCUUUGUUAAAAUCUAAUGUUCUCUCUAUUGUUGGGUUUUAGACAAGGAAGGAAGAAAGAGAAAUGAUAUAGAUUUUGAAUUGUGGUUAUGGUUUGAUGUAAAAGACUAACCACUAAGCCUUACUCAACUAUUAAUUAAAUAAAACUAAUCAUGAUAACUGCUAGACUUCUAAUACUAAUUAAAUUAUUAAAUUAUGAAAUAUAUUCUAAAAUCUAAUGAAACAUGAUCAAUCCUAAGAGAUAUAGAGAUAUUUUAAAUUGCUCUAAGGUUAGAGUUCAAAUAUUAUGAGAUGUUUUCAUAUAUUUUAACAAUCUUUUGUUCUUAAGUUGUUUUUUUGGUAAACAAUUCCUUGAAUCUGUAUACUUGGUUGUGCAAAUACAGCGUUCAGGUGAAGCAAUUACAAAAUCCAGAGACAGUUUUUGAGACAAUUAUUGGUAUAAUUAUUCGGCUGGCAGAACAUGGUCUCAUUCAUUGUGAUUUCAAUGAAUUUAACAUCAUGGUAUGCUUGAAUAACUUGUACUGGCUGGUCAGCUUUAUCGUUAAAUUGAAUAUUAAAUAUUUUUUUCAUUAUAUGUCAUUUUUGGUGGCUUCUGCCUCUGGCUUACAAUCUGGCUUCGUUCACUGUAGAUUGACGAUGAAGAAAAAAUUACUGUGAUUGAUUUUCCACAAAUGGUGUCUGUGUCGCACCGUAAUGCAAAGAUGUAAGAGUCUCUUCCUUGUAUGGUAUUAUAUUUUAAAAACAUUAUGCCUUAGUAUGAAAAUGAAAAGUUUACCAAGUAACAGGGACGUUACGGUAGUAUUUCUUAAAUUUAUUGUAUCUCUAACAAACAAAACUAUUCUUUUCCAUCUUCGGUUUGAAGAUGUUCAACGAAUAUAUUUUCAUUAGGCCUUAACUGCUUAUUAUUUUUCCUUGUUGCAGGUACUUCGAUCGUGAUGUUGAAUGUAUCUUUAAGUUUUUCAGAAAGAGGUUUGUCCUUUAAUUUUUGACCCGUUAUAUUUUCUAAAAAUAAAAAAGAGAAGUGUUUUUUCACUAUCCAGUUCCCUAGGUUUUAGUAAACCAAAAGACCUCAAAACAAAAUUGGAAACCUCAUUGGAAUUCAUACAUUGUUACAAAUAUUUGAAGCACUUGUUUUGCCUGAUAAAGAGAUCUUUGAAAGGAGCAUACUCUCGUUUCCUUGACUUUUUCAUACUACAUCUGAUCCUAAUUUCCUAUUUGAUAUCUUUGUUGAUUAUAAGUUUGGUUUGUUAACUGAUAUUUUACUUAAAAUUUACUUACAAGUGUUAAUAUUUAUUUUGGCAUUCACUUUUAAUACAUACCAUACCACCACCACCACCACCACUACACACUAUUAGUAUAUUGCAUCACUUAUUUUGAUUGAAUGUUUAAUUAUUCUUUUGCUUAACAUAUUGAAAGAUUUUGAAUUUUGUCUGUGGCUGCUUAUCCAGUUGUCCUUAUGAUUAGUCCCUCUUUUUGUUAUAGGUUCAAUAUGUCUUUUCAAGAAAGCAUAGAUGAUAACGACGAUUCUGAUAAAGGGAAAAACGAAGCUGGAAAACUGUGUUUUUCUUCAAUAGACAAAAGUGCUGGUGUUCUAGAUAAGGAACUUGCUGCUAGUGGCUUUAGUAAAAAAGAUGAUGAAGAUAUUCAGAGAGUAUGGUGUUUUUUCUGUUUUUUCUUAGUUAUAGACUUAUAGUGUGCAUUGUUGAUUGUGAAGCAUUUAUCUUAUUUUUUAUUUUGCCUCAAUGCUCUUCAAAUCUACCUGCAGUUUAUUGAAUGUGAGGUGGAGACUGAUACAAAUUCUGAUAGUGAAGAAGAUGUUGACUUGGCGAGUAACCUGAAUGAAGCAGACGAUCUAAAUGUUGAUUCUUUACAUUUGUCAGAGCAGGUAAUAUAUCCAUUAGCUUCUGUUGUCAUAAAAGAUAUACAUGCUAUGGGAAAUAGUGUGUGCUGUUUGUUCAUUUGUUUUAUUUUGAUAAAUUUAAGUUGGAGUUACGUACACGUAAAGAGAGAUAAAACAAUAGUGGUUCAACAAGUUAAAACAAGCAAGUAGACUCAUCUGUUAGGGGAUUGCCUUUCUGAAAACUGUUGAUGCCCUUGAUUCUAAUAUGACAGGGCGUACCUUUUUUUUUAACAGCAAAAUAAAUUAACUAGAAAAAGGAAGGACAAGAGGUACUUCAAACCCAUUUACAAGACAACAUACAUAAAACAACACUACCACCUAAAGCCUAGAUAUACUCUCCCUAAAUACCACCUCCAAGAUGAAACUAGGAUAAAGUCCAAAAGCUCAUCACUAUUGGUAUCCUUAUUAGAGAAAAUAGACCCAUUCUGGUGAGCCAAAUAUGACCCGGCAUAACUAAUAGAAGGUUUUUAUGUAUUUGCUUAGGAUACUAUUGCUAGAGAACUUAGGAAGGAUAUAAAACUGGCUUUCUGGGCUUGACGAGGAUGGAUUUAAAAUUUUCAUUGCUCUGAAUGUGAGAUUAAUUGCGGUAACUUCUGUGAUAUUCCAAGUGAACUGUGGGAUGUAAAUUUGAACGUCCUGUAGUUUAUCUAAGAUUUGUUAUUUGUUCACCAAUUGAGCAUAUACAGCCUGCCUCAUGUUUUUCAGCUUAUUUCGCUAGUUAUGCAAAUUCUGUAUUUUACAAUUCUGAUUGAAGGAUUGUUGAUGAAACCAUGUUUAGGAUGAGGGGCAUGAAAGUCAAGGAAAAGAGGAGAGCGCUGAAGCAGGUGAAAACAGUGGAUCUGAAACGGGAUCUGAAAAGGAAGAGGGAAAUGAUACGGUAAGCUAAUAUCUAUUAUUUUUAUUAGGUGAUUAUCUUGGUGUUUUGCUCUUCCUCUUCAUGAUGAUUUCUUUUGGGAAAUAGCGUAUGUCAUCCUUUUUAACAAGGAAGGCUGUAAAUAUCCCAGAAAUUCAAAUGAAAAUGCAAUCCGAAUUGAUUUGAUUUAAUUUUCUGUCACGAUCGAAUGGAUGGAUUUUUAUUGAAAGUGAACUAAUGUAUUCUAGUAUUAUUCUAGUUUAUAGAAUCCUUGUUAUCUAGCCUUCACAUGAAAACCAUUUAUAUGAAAACCAUAAUGGUAUUAAUUUGAUUUGCAGGAGGAAACCAAUGAAAUUGAAGCCGAACUAACAAAGAGCUUGAGUAAGCAAAGACAACGUGCUAUAGCAUCAGCCCGUAGGGGACGGAAGACACUUGCAUCCAGGAAUAAUUACAAAGACAAGGGUGGUAGGUCAUCUCAAAGUUCUAAGGUUCAAAUGAGCGGCUGGUGAGAUAUAUAGGAAGACAAUACCCAUGUCAUUGAUCUCAUGUCAUUCAAAUAUGUUGAAGUGAACCGGAAAAUACUGAAUAGAGUUUCAACCGUGUGCCAUCUAUUAGGACUAAAUUAUCUGUUUAAAAUUCAAACAUAUGUAUGGACUAUAGUUCAGAAUUGAUUUGGUUUUGAGUUUGUUUUCUUCCUGUAGGGAGAAUAAUUAUAUUCUUUUUGAAUGAAAAUUUUGCCUUCCUAUUCUGUCGUUCUUGCAUGCAUGAUGGAAGUGGCUGCUAUCAAUUAUCUCUACUGUGCUGUCUACUGAUUUCCACUGUCAGGUACAUAAACAUAGUGCUUUUGUCUAGUUGAAUGCUCAACGACAUAUCUGCUUUCAUGUUAUAAUUACAAGCCGAUUAUCCAAGCGUUGAAUCGAAACUUCUGCUGGUUUGGCCUAAGGCCCUAAACAAAGCUUAAAAACUUUGGCAAUUGCCUUGAGGAGCUUUAUACACGAGAUGAUUACCCUUUUGUGAGUCCAGCUGAACAAGUGAAUCUUGACUAGUGAUGCAAGCAUAAACACUUUUAUUUUUUCUUAUGGUUACAUCAUAAACACUUUUAUUUGAAACUAUAUUUUUACUAAAUCAAUUUUAUAAACAACUAAGUGGUCAGGCACGCGCGCUCAGCGCAAGUGUUUAACUUAUGUCCAAAAAAAAACAUGUCUUAUAUUUUGGUGAGUUUGUUAAUAAAAGAUUUUUGGUGCUAAAAAAAAAGAUUUGCCUUAUGUUAUUUUGAGUUUGUUAAUAAAAGAUUUUUGUUGCUAUUAAAAAAAACAAGGGUAUUGUUGGUAUUAUGAAAAGUCCAUACCAAAACUCAAUGUAUUCUCUUUAUAUAUAGUAUAUAGUAUAUAUUAUGUAAAAUUAUGUUUGUCAAAUUUAUAAUCAAUUUUAUAAACACAUUGAUUACAUUUUUGUUUCUUGAUUGACAUAAUUAUAUGUUUUGAGUUUGUAUUAUUUAUUAUUGGUUACAUUUUUUUUAAUUGACAAUGCUUCUUUAUACAUUGUGAAUUUGUAGAAAAUUGUUAGAUUAUAGUCUAUUGAACUUGAAUAUUUAUAUUUCUAAACUAGUAAUCUAGUCAUUUUAUAUUUUACUAUAUUUUUUUAAACCCUUAUUUAUAUUAUUUGUUUUGGCAUAAAGGAGAACCUAAUUACAAAUAAACUAAAUGAAUAGUACCUACAUUUAUAUCAUCAAGAUAACUCAUUCUAAUUUGAAUAAUAAGAAAUGUUAUUAUAAUUAUUGAGAAUUGUAAAAGUGAAGUUAAUCGUUAAUAAAUAUAGAGUAAUUACAUAUGAAUGAAAGGUAAACAAGUAACAAUCUGCGACGCUGACCCUUUUUGAAUGUCAAAAUCAACUCUCGUAAGUUUAAAACACUGGCCUCUUUGUCUUUCUCGUAUUUUAAAUGGUCAAUGAUAGUAUUAGUAGUUAGUAAUUCUAAUUUUUGCUGAGAGUGAUUAAACAUCUGACCUUUUAUCACCUAACUUUAUAUCUCAUGCACUUCAACCACCAAAUCAUUCAUAUAACUCCCCAUCAUCUCUAUUGUUGUUUUAUUCAUUACUUAUCACCUUUGUUAACACAAAAGAAAAAUCAAAUCUCACUCAUAUAUGAAUGUGCAUUUGUAGACAAUUUGUAUCAUUCAAAUAUAAUGCUCUAAAAACACAAGAGUUUUUAUUUAAAUAAAUUCUAGAAGUCACGGACUUCAUAGAUAGCUCUUGGCAUUUAUUUGGCUCAAAUAUUUUUGCAUUAUUAUCUCCCAUUCCCACGAAUUUUCUUUGAUCCCGACCUAAUAUACACUCACACACUAUCCAUAGUUCGGCUGUUGAUUCACAUGUCACAAUCCAAUUUCAAAAUCUAUGCUUCAAAUGGACAAUCAUUUUGGAUGUUUAUGUUUUGCCACUUGCAUGUUAUUAUAUAUCAUACCACUUGCCCAUUUAUUUUCUUCCACAAACGCGUUUGGACUUUGGCACUACCAUCUCACAUUCACACACACCCCAUUUGCAUUACUAUGCAUUUUCUUCAUUAGUUGAUUAUAUUAACUAGUUAUCUACGCAUACAUUAGUAUAUUUAUGGAUUCUUAAUUGCUAAUACUAAUUAGUUUAUGCUAAGUACUUCAAAAAAGUCAUUAAUUGCUAAGUACUUCAAAAAGUCAUUAAUCGUCGACUUGACUCAAACACUGCAUCUCAUUGACUCCUUUUACAAUCCACACCAUUUGCAUCUUAGUAAUCCAUUCAUUGAUUAGACAAGUCAUUCACGCAUAGAUUAAUAUACUACUAAAAUUUGGGCUUAGCCCCUCAUCAUUAUAAAGUAAAAUAAAAUAUAUACUACUAAAAUAGGUGAACAUUUUCAUAUUUUUUAUUUUAGUUUGGUUGCGAGGUAUAUAAAGUCUCGUAAAGAAUUGUUCUCAUCGAAAAAUCGAAAAUUGAAUUUGGGUUCUCCGAACAAUUCAUUUUAAAAGAGUUCAUUAACCACUUGAAUUCAAAUACUUAAUUUGAUCACUUAUUUAUUAUCUAAUCAUUUCAUGUAAUGAUAUAUUUUUAUUUUUAAUUAUUUAAACAUAAAAUUAUUAAUUUUGUCUACAAGAUUGUAUUCAACAAAACUUGAUGUACCAAAGUAUUUUCCAUUCAUAUAUUUUAGCAUUCUUAAUUGCUUGUACUGAAUUGUUUCAGAGCUAAGCAUUUCAAAAAGUCAAUAAUCGUAUACUUGACUCAAGUAAUUAGAAAUUCAACUAAAUUCUUAAAAGAAAUCAUUGCAUUCAUACAAGUAUAGGAAGACUUCAUGGUCUAGAUACUUAUGAAUUAAUUUGUAUGAAUUUGUAGGCUUAAUUGUAUUGUAAAAAGUCCAAAAAGCAACUUUUGUCUGAUACAAAGAAGCAUGAGAUAAAUAACCUAGUGGAGGUUGUGAUCACACCUCAUUUUGACUAAAAUGUCAAGUGUAGCAACCAUAAUAUACUUUUAUUUUGGUCUAAUUUUAUGAGAAUUUUAAGAAAAUCAUUAAAUUUUCAUUGUUAUAAUUAAGGUGACAUUUGGUUUAUGGCUUUAUGCUAUUAGUUUCUAUUCCCCCCUUGUUUUUUUAUAUCUAUGGAUGUAGUCAAUUAACCAAAGAUUUCCCAUUGGUUCUUCCCCCCUCUCUCAAAGUCCCAAACCUUUUGUUUUGGUGUAUACAUAUAAAUAUUUGGCGCAUCUUAUGUGGCGUCUCAAUCAGUAGAAGAUGCACCAAGUUUGCUUGCUUAUAAAUUUAUAAUAAUACAAACCUUAAUACUCAACUUAUAUAGUACAAUUAUUCAAACAUUGAAUACUCAACUUAAGUCAAGUUAAAGAUAUAUUCAUUUUAACCAAAAUCGUUUAGAUGAGAUGACACGUAUCUCUUUUAGUCUAACCAAUCUCUUGAGUUCGAUAUUUGAUUUGAGCAUACAGUAGUCUCAAAACUCUUAGAGAGAAUUUAUCACUCUUUUGAGUGCCACAAAACUCGAGUGAUUAGUCUUUGUAGUAGCGCGCGUAGCGUAUAUUCAUUUUUGUCCUAGAAUGAUAUAGUACCUUUUAUCAUAAUGCAAUGUGAACACAAUAUCACACAUUUGGCCAUUAUCUUCUUAGACAAAUAAAACAGUAGAUGCAACAUGCAUGAACAUCAUCAUCAUCAUCAUCAUCAUCAUCAUCAUAUAUAAAAACCUUCAUUUACUACAACUUCUAUGCAAAGUCAUAAAACUUCAAAUUCAAUUGACCAAUUCACAAUUCCACAAUCAUGUUAUCUCUAAACCUUAAAUUGACCAUAGUCAUACUCAUUUCAAUUCUAUCCAUUAUCAUUUCACAUGCUCAAACAACAAAAACAAAAACAACAAUUGAAGUUGAAAUUGAAGCAUUAAAAGAAUUCAAAAAAUCCAUAACAAAUGAUCCAAACAAAAUCCUUGCAAAUUGGAUUGACACAACACCUCAUUGUAAUUGGUCAGGAAUUGAAUGUAACAACCAAACAUCAUCAAAACAUGUUAUAUCAAUUUCACUUUUUGAACUUCAACUUGAAGGUGAAAUUUCACCAUUUAUUGGUAACAUUUCAACUCUUCAACUUGUUGAUUUAACUUCAAAUUCAUUCACUGGUCAAAUUCCACCACAAAUUGCUCAAUGCAUUCAACUUACAACACUUUAUCUUACUGAUAAUUCUCUCUCAGGUUCAAUUCCUCAUGAAUUAGGUAACCUAAAAAAUUUACAAUUUUUGGAUUUAGGUAGUAACCAUUUCAAUGGAACUUUACCUAAUAGUAUAUUCAAUGUUACUUCUUUGUUAGGUUUUGCUUUCAAUUUCAAUAAUCUUAGUGGCACAAUCCCUUCAAAUAUAGGAAAUUUAGUUAAUGUUAUACAAAUUGCAGGAUAUGGGAAUAGUUUUGUUGGAUCUAUACCUGUUUCUAUAGGUAAAUUAGGGUUUUUGAAAUCUCUUGAUUUUAGUCAAAAUAAGUUAUCUGGUGUGAUUCCUAGAGAGAUUGGAAAUUUAACAAAUUUACAAAAUCUGGUAUUGUUGGAUAAUUCAUUGAGUGGAAAAAUUCCUUCUGAGGUUGGUCAUUGUAGAAAUCUUGUUUUUCUUGAGUUAUAUGAGAAUGAUUUCAUUGGAAAUAUUCCUCAUGAGUUAGGAAAUUUAGUUCAAUUAGAAACUUUGAGGUUAUUUGAUAAUAAGUUGAAUUCAACUAUACCAGAUUCUAUAUUUAAGUUGAAAUCAUUAACACAUUUAGGAUUAUCAGAAAAUAACUUAGAGGGAACAAUUUCUUCUGAGAUUGGAUCUUUGAGUUCCUUAAAAGUGUUAACUUUGCAUUUAAAUAAGUUUACCAGAACGAUUCCUUCAUCGGUAACAAAUUUGAGAAACUUGACAUCUCUUUCCAUGAGUCAGAAUCUUUUUUCUGGUGAAAUUCCUUCGAACUUAGGUGUGCUUCAUAAUUUGAAGUUUCUUGUCUUGAAUAACAAUUUUUUACAUGGUCCUGUUCCUCCUAGCAUUAUCAAUUGUACUAGUUUGGUAAAUGUGAGUUUAUCUUUUAAUGCAUUAUCUGGGAAAAUUCCUGAGGGUUUUUCAAAGCUACCUAAUUUGACUUUUUUGUCUCUUGCAUCCAACAAAAUGAGUGGUGAAAUUCCAAAUGAUCUCUUUAACUGUUCAAACCUUAGUACUCUAAGUUUGGCGGAAAACAACUUCAGCGGGUCGAUAAAAUCCGGUAUCAAGAAUCUGUUUAAUCUCAUGCGUUUACAGCUGCAUGUAAAUGCUUUCGUAGGACCAAUUCCACCAGAGAUCGGAAACUUGAAUAAACUCAUCUCUUUGUCUCUUUCUGAAAAUAGAUUUUCAGGUCAUAUUCCAAUAGAAUUGUCAAAACUUUCUCUUCUCCAGGGACUUUCUCUUGAUGACAAUGUAUUAGAAGGUACAAUACCUGAUAAACUUUCAGAACUAAAACAAUUGACUGAACUUUGGCUGCAUGACAACAAGUUAGUUGGUCACAUACCGGAUUCUAUCUCAACGCUUGAGAUGCUUUCAUACUUGGAUCUUCAUGGAAACAAACUUAACGGUUCCAUUCCGAAAAGCAUGGGGAAGCUUGAUCAUCUUUUAAUGUUGGAUCUCUCUCACAACCAACUCACAGGAUCGAUUCCCGGAGAUGUCAUUGGACACUUCAAAGACAUGCAGAUGUAUCUUAACCUUUCUUACAAUCACUUUGUUGGAAAUGUUCCUUCUGAGUUGGGGAUGUUGGAAAUGGCACAAGCAAUUGAUGUUUCAAACAAUAAUCUUUCAGGUGUUCUUCCAAAGACACUUGUGGGAUGCAGAAAUAUGUUUAGCCUUGAUUUCUCAGGAAACAAUAUUUCAGGUCCUAUUCCUGCUGAAGUUUUUAGUGGUAUGGACUUGCUUCAAAGCUUAAAUCUUUCGAGAAACCAUUUAGAUGGUGAAAUCCCUAAAAGCUUGUCACAGCUUAAGAAUCUUAGUUCCUUAGAUCUUUCUCAGAAUAACUUGAAGGGAAGUAUUCCUGAGGGAUUUGCCAACCUUUCCAACUUGAUGCAGGUCAACUUUUCUUUCAAUCAACUUGAAGGUCCUGUACCUUUGACCGGAAUCUUUGCGCAUAUGAAUGCAUCUAGUAUAAUGGGAAACCAGGCUCUUUGUGGAGCAAAAUUCCUAAGGCCAUGCAGAGAGAAUGGUCAUUCUGUAUCCAAGAAGGCCGUAGCUAUCCUUGCUUCCCUUGGAUCUCUUGCUGUACUUCUACUUGUAGUGCUUCUCAUUUUAUAUCUCAACCGAGGCACCAUAUUUGGUAAUUCUGCAAAGACUGGUGAUACUGAGAAUCAUGAAUCAGUGCAUGGUUCAUCAGUGGGUCUUAAAAGAUUCAGUCCAAAGGAAUUAGAAUAUGCCACCGGUUGUUUCAGCUCAGACUACAUCAUCGGUGCUAGCAGUUUGAGCACCGUUUACAAGGGUCAAUUUGAAGAUGGUCAGGUUGUAGCAGUAAAAAGCUUGAAUUUGCACCAAUUCUCUGCAAAUACCGACAAGAUCUUCAAGAGAGAAGCCAGUACCUUGAGCCAGCUGAGACAUAGGAAUUUGGUUAAGAUACUUGGAUAUGCAUGGGAAAGUCAGAAAAUAAAGGCUUUAGUUUUAGAGUACAUGGAGAAUGGGAAUUUGGAUAGCAUCAUACAUGAUAAAGAGGUAGAUCAGUCGAGGUGGACAUUAUCUGAAAGAGUCCGCGUUUUCAUUUCUAUCGCGAGUGGAUUAGAUUACUUGCACUCUGGCUAUGGUUCUCCCAUUGUCCACUGUGAUCUUAAGCCUUCUAACAUCCUUUUAGAUAGAGAUUUUGAAGCUCAUGUCAGUGAUUUUGGAACAGCUCGAAUACUUGGUCUUCAUCUGCAGGAUGGUAGUGCCCUUUCCUCAAUGGCAGCUUUGCAAGGGACAGUUGGUUAUUUGGCACCAGGUAUACGCCUUUUCUAAUCUUUUAUGAUCAAUGAAUUAUGUGUCAUCUUUCAAUGAAUUAUGUAGCAUUAGAUUGUUUUAGAAUUUUAACUCUGAACAAUAUUUUUGUGUAAUUCCCAGAAUUUGCCUACAUGAAGAAAGUAACGACUAAAGUGGACGUGUUCAGCUUUGGUAUCAUAGUAAUGGAAUUUCUAACAAGAAAAAGGCCAACAGGGCUCUCAGAAGAGGAUAGCUCGCUAAUCAGUUUGCGUGAUGUAGUGGCAAAAGCCGUUGCAAAUGGAACAGAACAGAUAAUCAACAUUGUGGACCCUGAAUUGAUCACAAAAGACAAUGGAGAAGUGUUGGAAGAGCUCUUUAAACUAUCAUUGUGCUGCACCUUCUCUGAUCCUGAACAUCGACCUAAUAUGAAUGAAGUUUUAUCUGCACUUAUGAAGCUUAAGACAGCAAGAUAGUAUUACUGUCAUGCCAGUUUCUUCAUUACUAGUUUCUUUAACAAUGUAAAGCCUUCCUAGUAUCCAUUUUACUUUUCCAGUUAUGAUGUAAUGUAUGCAACAAAUUAUCAAGGGACUUUGAAUCUGCAAUUAAUUCCUUCAGUUUAAUGCAGAGAUAUCAAUACAGACAUUCGAGUUUGCUCAAUCGUACUAUAGUUAGAGAACGGUGUUGGUUUGGAAUUAAAAUAAUACUGUAUGUUAUAAAGACUCAAAAGUAUCUUUGAGAAAUUUUAUGCAGUGAAACAAAUUUAUUGCAUUUGCAUACAUCAACUACGAAGAAAAAUAUCAUAAAAUAAGCAACAAAGCUUCAAUAACUGGGGAGUAAAUAAGCAUUUUGGUCCUCCAAAUUGUAAGGGCCAACCAAUUUCAUACCUCAAAUUUACGAAAUAACAAAUUAGUCCCUUAAAUUAAAGAAAAUCAAUCAAUUUAGUCUCUCCAUCAAAAUUUCUCUUUUGUUAUCCGACAUUCAGUUUAAGAUACUAAAUUACGAAAUAACAAAUUAGUCCCUUAAAUUAAAGAAAGUCGAUCAACUUAGUCUCUCCAUAAAAAAUGACUAAAGUGACUGACCCUCAUUCAAUUUAAGAUACUAAAUUGUUAUUUUACACAUUUGAGGGACUAAAUUGACGACACUAACAAUUUCAAUAACUAAAAUGCUGAUUUACUCGUUACUCGGAGGAUCGGUAUGAAGAAAUUCUUGAAUGGUUGAAGGGAAAUCCAAGCCUGAAAAAUCAGCCUCAGAAACAAAAGCAGAUUUUCCUAAAAGCAAAUGUGCCAACCUCAAAGGCUCUUUCUUCUCCACUCCAUCAUUCAAAAAAUGCUUGAUCCACCCAUUUAAUCUCAAAACCUCUUUUUUACACUUUGGUCCUUCCACACCAACAAUCUUUGAAUAAAACCCUCCUUCACAGUGACAAGAAUCACAAUCAUUAUCAUCAUCCUCAUCAUCAAAAUCAAAACCACCCCUUUUUUCCUCAUUCAUUCCUAAUAGCAUCAUUAACCGUUCAAUUUCAUCAACAUCUUCUUGAACUUCAUUUACAAUUGUAGGGUCAUCUAAAGGGUCUUGAUGGGUCAGUGAGAAUCCUUGAGAAAUUGAGAGAAACUCUUGAGGAGGUUCACUGCUUUCUUGGGUUUGACAUGUUUGGCUACAACUUGGUUGAAGGAAUAAAGGUGAACCCAAUGUUGAUACAAAGUUGCUUUCUUGUACUUGGUCAGAUUCUGUUGUUGUUUUUGUUGUGUUCUCUAAUUUUAUCCUUUUUUCAACCUGAGUAACAAAUUAAUCAAUUAAUUCAUUAAAACAUUCUUAAGAACAACAUUUUAGGAUGUUGAAAUUGUGAUUUCAUACCUGUUUUAACGAUGAGAAGAAUUUGGAAUGCGAAGACAUUGAUAAUGGUUCAGUUUUUUUGUCCUUUUUGUUUAUUUAGAAUUUAUGAUCAAUAUAUAACUUCCUGAAACGCGCACGGACACUCCUCACAUUAGGCGCGACACUUAUGAUUAUAUUAAAUUAUUUCAUUUUUAAAAUUAUUAUCGGUGUAUGAUCUCGGAGUGAGUGUCCGCAGUAGUGCAUUAUAAUAAUUACGUAUUUAUCAUUCAUUUAUUUUAUUAGUUCAAUUUCAGUAGCAUAGAUUAUGCGAAAAUUAGUGCUGAUAAUGUAAAAUUGGGAGAACAAAAUGACACUUGAACAAUGUAAGAAAAGCACUAACAUUCACUUGCAUACAACACAUGAUAAUAAUUCACAUUCCCUGAGGAAAACAUUACAAUAAGGUAUACUGAACAGAAAACACAAGACCGCGCUCACUCGCUCACUUUCCGGGAACAAAGUUGGUGGCAAAAGCCCAAGCGUUGUUGUUGACUGGGUCAGCAAGAUGGUCAGCAAGGUUCUCCAAAGGACCCUUUCCGGUCACAAUAGCCUGGACAAAGAAUCCAAACAUAGAGAACAUAGCUAACCUACCGUUUUUGAGUUCCUUAACCUUUAAUUCUGCGAAAGCUUCUGGGUCGUCAGCUAGGCCUAAUGGGUCAAAGCUGCCACCUGGGUAAAGUGGGUCAACUACUUCACCAAGAGGCCCACCUGCAAUACGGUAUCCUUCAACUGCGCCCAUCAAGAUAACUUGAGUGGCCCAGAUGGCAAGGAUACUUUGAGCGUGGACCAAACUUGGGUUGCCCAAGUAGUCAAGUCCACCCUCGCUAAAGAUUUGAGAUCCGGCCUUGAACCAAACAGCCUCACCGAAUUUAACACCGUUGCGAGACAAAAGCUCCGGGAAAACACAUCCCAAGGCUCCUAACAUAGCCCAUCUAGAGUGGAUAACUUCAAGCUCACGGUUCUUGGCGAAUGUCUCUGGGUCAGCAGAAAGUCCAGCAGUGUCCCAACCGUAGUCACCUGGGAACUCUCCAGUCAAGUAAGACGGGGGCUCACCAGAGAAUGGGCCUAAGUACUUAACACGGUCUGGGCCGUACCAUGGGCUUCCAGAGGAGGCUACUUUCUUGGUGGUAGCACCCUUCCUCAUGGUAAACUUUGCAACUCCCAAUUCUUGGCUUGAGGGGGUCAGCUUGACUGGCUUGCCAGCCAAGGCAGGUGAAGUGAGAGCCAUGGAUGAUGCGGCCAUUUUUUUUUUGCAACGAAAUCAAAAUGCUUGUUCUGUUUUGAUAUUUGUACUCUUAUGAAUGGUGAUUUGGUAAGGUGAACAUAGAUGUUUAUUUAUACUAGAGAUGAAGUUGUUAUGCUCUUAUCUUGUAUUAUCCAAAGCUACAUUCUCAUUGGAAGUUGGAGAUUUUGAUGCUACACUUGGCACUUCUCUAAUCCAUUAAUGGGUUAGAUUCUUUAAAUGAUAUGUAACCAAUAUAACCAAUGUUGGUGCUCCAUGUGUAAAUGUGGGAUUCCUANNNNNNNNNNNNNNNNNNNACAAAUUGUGAAAAGAACUAAGUUAGGGUUGAUGGUUACACAUAAUGGAUCAGUCAAGUUUAAUUCAUGAGGUAGUUAUUGAAUAUAGUUAUAAUCUGGUUUGUUAAUUGUAUGUAAUACAUAGAAAUGUUUAGUCUUACAAGUUACUUGUUGGCUAGUAUUGUUUAGGACAUUAUUUUCAAUAACAAAAAAUCAAACAGUUUCACACCCUCAGGAUUUAUUAAGUUAUAAUGCAAGAGGUACUUAAGGAUAAUUGCAUUGAGUUAUACUGUUAUAAUAUAAUAGUUGAAUAAUCUAUGUUUCAUAAGUAUAGUUCAUAUGGUAAAAAUCGGUUAAUAUAUUUGAAUGCUGGAGUGAGAAUUCGAACACGCAAUGUCCCUCUUCUUACUUUAUGUGUGUGAGUUUUGUCGUUAGACUCUUUAAAUCAAAGAAAAAAAAAUAUAAGAAAUGAUACAAGUUAUUAGUAGUGGUCCUGCUUUUUGCUGCACUUGUUGAUAGUAUUUUUACCAUGUUUCCCAUUUUACAGUUCAUUUAGCAUAAAUGACUUAUCCAAAAUCUAAGAUAGCACUUUCUUAUUGGAUGAAGUAGGUGUGUGUGAUAUCUCUAUAUGGUAUAGUUUGUUAGUAAGGGGGAUAGAGAUAAAAAUUAUAUAUAAGUGAUAUUUAUUAGGACAAAUGAGACAUAAGUUGUUACCACUAGACAAAUGAGAUUAUUUUGUCUUGCUCUUGCAUAUUAUUAUUAUUAUUAUUAUUAUUUAAUUUGGAUAUUGAAAUAUUAUUAUGUGAAUCUGUGACAGAUGGAUGGAUAUUGAAGAGCAUAUGGUUUGAAAUUAGUUGAGUAAUCAUGUUCCAUCUAAUUUGAUAUUUAGAAUCCUUCUGUUGAAUAGUCUACCAAUGAAAAAACAUGAAAUAAUUAAGUACCAAACUUAGUAAAAAGUACAUUGAUACAUCUUGAGCCUUCCAUAAGACAAGAGGUUUUUUACAAAAGAAAAAUAAAUGAAAGUUAACACAGCUUAAUUAUACAUCAAAGAGCAUAAUUCUUUGUGAUUAAAACAGUAUAAUGAUGCAGAAGUUAUAAGUUUAAUUUAUGUCCACAAUUCUUCUUGUGUACCUUAUCUGUUAUAGUUAACAAUGUUAUCAAGCUUUUAUUUUUUGGUGAAUAUGUUAGUAUGUUACCAAGCUACUUUUGCUUUAUUCUCCUAAUCAAGCAAGCUUCUCUAGGCUUUGCUAAGUAACUCUUUGUUGACAAGAUUGGAAUUGUUGGUAAUCUUCAAGGUUAAAAUGUGAUUAUUCUAUCAAUUUAUUCUGUCAUAUGUCUCAUUUUUACGAGGGUUGGAUGAACAAUCAUCAAGUUAAAAUCAUAUUGAAUUAAGGAGAUUGACGAUUAAUAGCCAACAAGUUAACUCAACUAAGGUUGUUAGAUCUGGGUUUUUACGUCAACUUAUUUUGACUAAGUGGAUUCAAAAUUUAUUUUAAGUUUAAUUUUGAGUAUAAUCUGCAAUUAAUAAUUUUAUUUUUAUUUUAGAAAUUUAAAUGUUAUAAAUAAUAAUUAAAUAAAAUAUGAAAAAAUUAAUAUAUUAUUAAUUUAAAUUAAAAAUAAAUUUUAAAUAUUAGAUAAUUACACUUAAUUGAUUUUCUUUCAUUCACAUUAAGUAAAUAUGACUAUAGUCAUACGUUUCAAUAACAAAUAACACAACAAUUAUAUUCUCAUCAAUAUAUUUUGUAAAUAAAUAAUACCUCUCUCAUUUUUUUCACGUAUUAAUAUAACUCUUUAAAUCAUGCAUGUCAUGUGAGAUUGAAUAUUAUAUAAUAUAUAUGAUUGAAGUACAAAGUGAUUGUUUAUAUAAAAAAAAUUCAAAGUGAUUGUAUAUUUUAACCUCUAUUGUUUUAUUUUAUUUUUAUGAAACCCCUAUUAUAUUAUAUAUCUUUUUUUUUUUUACAAUAUUUAUGUAUCUAUUGUUUAUAAAAUUACUUAUGAUAUUUAAAUGUCUAUAUAACUUAACUCAAAUGGCACAGAUAUCGAAAUUGUUAGGUCAUAUCAUACAUCAUUUCGUCUAUCUAUAAAAAAAUUAUUAUAUUUAAAUAAUCCCAUAAUAUUUCGCAAUAUUAUAUAAUUUGAUCAAAAUAUAAUUACUUAUUUGUGUUUGUUUCUCACUUGUUUUCAUCUAUUCUUUUUGUAUUUUUUAUUUAUUUAUUUUUGCACACUUGCAUAAAAAUAUGAGACAUUCUUCCGUUCAUCCGUUUUAUUUAUAAGCAAAAAUUCUCUUAUUAGGAUCAUACACCUUGCUUGUAACCUAAGAAAAUACAUUUUUUUAGCUCUAGGAGCUAAUUUAUGUAACCGUAAAGUUAAUGCAUAUGCUAGUAUGCUAAUGAACCAAAAACUUUUAAAAGUUUGAUGUCAAGUAAUUCUUUGUGUUAUUAAUUCAUAAGGAGAUUUGUUUAGUAAAACAGUAGAAGACAUUAUGUUGAUUAUAUAAGUAACAUGUUGAACAGCAUAAGACAAAAAAAAUUAGGUGAGUGCUUGGUAUAGAAAAGCUCCGCCAACAUUUAACAAGUGUUGGUACUUUCUUUCCACCCUACCAUUUUGUUCAGGUGAUUCAACACAACAUAUGUUGAUGCUUUCUUUCCAUCCUACAAAGGCAUUAAAAACUCUGCACCAUUACCGGUUCUGACUAUUUUAAUUUUAGAAUUGACUAAAAAAAAAAAACUUUAGAAUUGUGUUUUAUGAAAUCAAUAACAUGUUGUCUUGUCUGUGAUUUAUGUUUCAUUAGAACUAUCCAUGUAAACUUGUACCAAAAAACUUGUACCAAAAAAAGAAGAAGAAUUAUCCAUAUAAACCUCCUGGAAUCAUGAGCUACGGUUAAAAAAAUAAGCAUUUGUGUAUAGAUUUUGAUGCAAUAUGAUCCCAUAUAUCAAAAUGAAUUAACUCAUAAGGAACAAAAACUUUAUUCAUACUAACAUUAUAAGACAAUUUUAUGUGUUUAGAAAGGUGACAAAUGUCACAAAUGUAAGAGUUCAGGGUCGAUCUUAGCGGUACCGGCACUGCCACCUUACGAUCUUCUCCAUCCUCUCUCUAGUGAGUUUUUGUCUUCCUUGAAAUCGAACCAUGUACACUGAGAUUAAAGUACAAGUUCAAUUCAUUCUCACUAUCAAUUGAACUAUAAAUUAUAAAUUAUAAAAUUGCAUUUUGUUCCUCCUUCAUUUCCCUUUUCUUCCUACCUCAAUUGGAAAAUUAAAACCGCAUAAAUUAGAAAUUAAAUUAAUGACAACUCUUAAACCUCAUUUCAUUAAAUAUGUAGGGGCUGAGGUUUGAACUCCGAUCAUCCUACUUAUUCAUCUUAAGAGUGAAAUUUCUAGCUAUAUUGACCAAAAAAUAUAUAUAUAUCCUAAAUUUGAGAUUAAAAAAAAAGUAAAUAUACAAAUUUUCUACCAAUUUUUCUUUACACAUUUUUAGCGUUUUUUUUUUUUUUUGACAGUAACAUUUUUAGCUUUUANNNNNNNNNNNNNNNNNNNNNACUCUUGCGGAUAAAUAAAUAUAAAAACAGAGAAAAAUAGAAAAUUAAAACCCUAAAACAACAAAACUCAUCAGCUUUGCUGUAUCUGAAACAAGUUGGAGAGUCGUACUUAACUCAACUCAACUCGCCGGAAAAACCGCCGGAUUUGCUCAUCGGCGCCAGAAUAAGUGAGUAAACUGUCCAGGCCUUUCCUUUUUACUUCAUUUUAGCGAUUCUCUUUCCCCUCUGCUAUACCACGCGCGAAGAUGCGAUUCCGCCGCGAUUUGCGGCCGCGAUACCCGCCAUGCGCCGGUGCUUCAACUGCGUCUCAGCCGAGCAUCACUCCGGCAUGCUGGACAUUCGAUUUUUAGUUGCCGUUAUUUUUAAUUCUUGUGCGGCAUUGAUAUUAGUAGUUAACUAGGGUUUAGUAGGAAUAUAUAAUUUGAUUAAUUCGGACAUUAUACCAUGCGUUUCAAAUCAAUCAAUCAAUUAAUCAAUCUUUCUGGUGCAGCGGUAGAAAAGUCCUAAUCUUUUGGGAUGGGAUGGGGUGCACUGAUUCAUAGGAUUUUGGAAGAAUUUUCAUUUUUUAGCGUAAACUAACUCAUUCAUUAGCUUGUACAAAGAUAGGUUACAAUCAGAUUACAAAGAUGUGUAGGGAUAUUCUCCGUUCUAAAACUAUGACCAACAGCUAAAGGCAUGUUUGGAUUGACUUAUUUGAACUUAUCUACUGGGGUAAACACUUGUGAGAUAACAACUUAUGACAUUUUCAUAAGCUGUUUUCAGUUUAUUUCCAUAAGCUCUUAUACAAAAACAUUCUUUAUAUAAGCUGCAAAAUAAGUUGUUUAUGCAAACAAGGCCUAAGUCAAGAUUGUGCAUUGUUGAAUAAUGAGAGUAAAUAUUUUAAUUAAGCACAUAUUUAUCAUUUACAUAGGAGUUCAUGUAGUGUAAGCUAGAUUUACUUUUACAUUACAAUCGAAUAGUAAAUAAGGGCAAACUAUUUUGUACUCCCUCCUUCCCAUAUCAAGGUUGUGGCACGGUCCUUAAGAAAAGUUGUUAAUAGUGUAGAAAUUAUAUAAAGUGUUGUGUAAUGUACAAUCAUACCCUUUAUAUAUUCUCUUGAAUAGUUAUUUUAUCAUUUAUUUGAUCAAAAAGCACAAUAAAUAUGAAUAUGCGUAUAGGUCAGAAAAUUAUUUACUGUUUCAUUGGAUAUGUAAAAUGGCAAUCAAAUUGAGACAGUUUGGUUUUUUAAGAACAUAUAAAAUGGGACGGCGGGAUUAUUAAUUACUUCACAAUAAUAAUCGUACAAUAAAGUGGUACUAGGGCAUACUUCUCGCUCUAUUUCUUGAGGGUUUUCAAUCAUUUGAGCUGUUGCUCAAUGCUGCAGGCUGUCAUCGUAAUUUCUGUUUAGGUUAAUUUGCUUCUCUCUCUAAUUUAAAAUAUUAGUUAUAUUUCAUUGGAAACUUGUGAAUUUGUUUAUAUGGUUUGUUUGUUUUGUUAUUUUAACUACCAUUGGGAUCUUGGGCAAAUUCUUAUAUUUCUUUUCAUCUUCCUUUCAUUUCAUUGUUUGAACUUGAUUUAGUUGAAUAAUUCAUUAGCAAAGCUAAAGCCUUUUCUUUUUGUAACAUCUAUAAACUUUUUCAUCUAUUUUAUUUUUACGUACCCUUCACAGGUUUUUGGUGAAAUUACUACUUCAUCUUCAUGGCUAAUAAUCCAUCACAGCUUCUCCCAUCAGGUUUUUUUUUAUUUCACUAUCUCACUCCAACCAUUUUUGCGAAAUCCAAUAUAGCUUUGAACAAAGUUUAAGAUAACAUGUCAUUUUGUGCUUAAAAUAUGCAGAGCUGAUUGACCGCUGUAUAGGUUCAAAAAUAUGGGUGAUAAUGAAAGGUGACAAGGAGCUUGUUGGUACUCUUAGAGGCUUUGAUGUGUAUGUCAACAUGGUCCUUGAAGAUGUUACCGAAUAGUAAGAGCUGCACUACCACAUUUUAUGCUUUUAUCUGCAAAUCUUUCCGAUGUUCUGUUUUUUAUAUUUAUAUUUAUAUUUACAUGCACAUUUGAUUGUUUUUCUGUUAAACACGUGUUUGUUGGGUAGGAAGAUAGAAUAGGACCAGAUUUACAUGUUUGUUUAAGGAUGCAUUUAUUUCAUGUGCGGACUCGAUGCCCCAAACUUUUUAAAAUACACUUCUAACUGGAAUUGUUAUACUACGUUAAUUUCAAUAAUUAACAGUUUUUCCCUAACUUUUGUGAGUGCUUACAUUUAAUUUGAAUCGGCAUGAUGUCGGAGAAGUCAAUUAUACUUUUUUCCCCAACCUUUAUGAAAGUAGGUUUACUUUGGGAAGAAAAGAUGGGCAAAACUGAAAUUGAUUUUGAUUUGUUCUGGGUCUCUAUAGUAAAUAGUGUAUUUUGAACUAUAGUAGGUCAUUUGUAAAUGGGUGAUUUUGAAUUUAAGGAAUGUAAAAAUCCUGGUUUGAAAUUCCAGUUGUUUAGGAAGGUUAACACUUUAGUUAAGAUUUGAGAAAGUGAAAGGCUCCUUAUAUACUGAUUUAUAUGAACAAGUAUCUUAAUUUCAAUGUCUGUGUGCUAUGAAUAACCAGAGGCAACUAAAAUUAUAACCAUAUUGUGAACACAGUAGAAUUUGUUCAGAGCCACCAUGAUCCUUGACUUCGCACUUGAUUGUUAUUACCAAUUACCCAUCUCCAGUCGAUACAAGAGGAGCUACCA